rnacentral:lncRNA from 1 species
ACUAGAACUAGAUCUAGAUGAACUAGAGGUAGAACUAGAAGAACUAGAGGGAUCCUCUCUACUUGGAUGAAGAAUUGAAACCCUAGCUUUGAUUCUGUAGAAGAGGUAUGAUCUCCAGGGGCCAGGGGGGUCUGGUUUUAUAGUCCCUUCAAGUGAAUCUGGGCCGUCGGAUCAAACCGACAUUGAUCGUGUGGUUUUCCUUGAAGUAUUAGGUCGGUGGAGCAUGAUCCCCGAGUUGUACCCUGAUUGGGCAGAACAGGUGGGCGGGCGCCCUCAGGACUAGGGCGGGCGCGCUGUCCCUGAGGCCUCUUGUCUUCCGCUUUGUUCCCGUGGCUUCUGGAGUCUUCUAGAUGAUAGAAAAUUACGCGGCACGUUAAUAUGUCUAUGUAAACCCGACGUGUGGGCCUUUCUUCCAUAAUUCCUGAUAACCCCCUGCAGAAAUAGACAAACACGAAAACUUGUAGAAUUCUGUCAGAUAAAACCCUAAGUCUAGGUGUUGGUUGCAUUUGGAUCCUUUUCUAUGAUUAGUUGAUGGUUAAAUAUGAGCAUUAAGGACCGUCAACAAGCUCCCCCAAGCUUAACCUUUGCUCGUCCCUGAGCAAAGAUGGACUCAAGAGUUUCUGCAGUGGUUUUAUGCCUUAAAGAUAUACAUGCGUUCAAACAAGAUCUCAUCUCUGGGUUAGGGUAAACUGUUAAGAUUUAAAACUUAAUCAUUUUACCUUUCACCAUGGGGCUUGCAACUGUCACUUCUGUCUUGAGUAGUUAAAAGAUAGAACGGUCUAAUCAAGCGCCAUGUCUCUUGUUCUUCGAUUAACUAUAGCUCUAGAGUUUUUGCAGAUUUUCAAAUAAAACACAGAGAUUCCUAGUAUGACUCUCUCUAGUCUCUCAUUUGUGGUAUUUCUGGAUCCUUACCAAAGCAGUAAAGGUGUAUGCCUUCUCUCAAAGUAUGUGAUAUUUUUGGUAUAAGGCAUAGUGACAUUGCCUUCUCUCUCACCCUACUCUAAUAAGGCUUUUGAUAUCUGGAGCUCAUAGGUGGGAGACAGCUAAUACAUACUUACAAGACAUUUAUUGCAUAGUCAAACCAUGGAUCUAGAAGAACAAGUCAAUAAGUCAAAUCAAGAUGUGCAUGUGUGGCGAAUGAAUGGUGUAUGGUGAUGAUGGUGAUAACAAUGGUGAAAGUCUAAUUCUACUUUUGCUCUUUUGAGGGGAUACAUACCUUCCUUGCUCUUUUGAAACUUUUUUUGAGGAGAAUGAGAUGCUCUAUAUUUUCUUUUCUUUUUUUCCUUUUCUCUCAGGUGGGUAUCUUGUACCCCUAAUUCUACUGUCGGACACUUGUCCAUUUUUACCUCUCGUCUCACUUUUUCUUUUCUUUCGAGGUUCCGGGCACUUGCCCCUUUUUAUUUCCUCGUAUUCUUUCUUUUUUUUCUUUUUUUAGAGCACUCAUCUCCUAAAAUAAUAUAGCAAGUGGUAGUAACCAAGAUAACUUGAGCAUUUAUUUCACAGGGGAAAAACAUAAAUGUUUUUGGCUAUUCUCUCCCGGAAUAGGAGUAGAAUAUUUUUUGGGUGAAUCUGGAGAUGGAAAUGAGUGGAUAUAUGUGGAUGGUACUUCUGGAGUAGAAGUAGCAUGUGUGAGUGAACGUGCAAGUGAAUCUUGAUUUAACCUCAUGACAAGCUCCAAAGGGUCUACACAGCUUGACCACACUCAAUGCUCAUAAGCAGUAAAAAGUAAAUGUGUGGUUCAGAGUCUACAAGCAUGUAUAUAUGGCUGUGGUAGGAAUUUAAACUCUCAUCAUACAGGAACUCAUCAUGUGAUAUUUUAAAGAUUUUUAAAGAUAAAAUUCUUCAGAAUUCUAGCAUCUCUAGGAACAGAUAAACAGCAGCUCAACCUUCCCAUAUCAUAUCCGUUAACGACUUUGACUUCAGAUCAAGCACUCUCCCCACAAGUUCAGGUUUAGAGCAAAUCUUAAUUCAUAACAGUGAUGCCUAAACUUGCGAGAGAUUUCAAUUUUGAGAACUAGUCAUGGUAGAGCAACUAUUCAUCAUUUCCAUGUGAGAGCUUAUCAUGAGGGUUCAUAGCAAACUUUAUUUAUUUAUUUAGCAAAGUAAGCAAAGAUAUAUAUAAGCACAAAAUCUUUAUUUGGGUUUCUAUGAUUAUGCAUCUUUUUAUUAUUAGAUUAAAGUAUAAACGUGAGUAGAAUACUUAGCUGGAUAAAUGGGGGUGCUCUCCCCCAAGCUGGAUUUUGACGUAGUUUCUUCUAAUGUAGCUAGCAAGUGGUGGAGGUGUAUUUGAAUGUCAGCAGCACCCUGAGAGCGAUUAGGAUGUCCUCUGUCUGCUAGUCUUCUUUGAUCCUUAAAUUCUGUGGAGCUCAAAUAGACAACAAAGCUUUGUGGAACUAGUUAAGUGUUAGCAUAAGUAUCUAGCCUUUAUCAUGUUGAGCUUCCUCAAUAAAUGUUACUCUCUUUAGUAGGAUCAUAAUUUUAUUUUUAUAGGACAGGAAUAUGUUUAUUUCAUGUUUAUGCCACCACAGUGAAUGUACUUAUGGGUUUUAUGCCAUGAGUAUACUCACAUGGGGCUUACUAUUUUUUAACAUUUUUAUUUUCUUUCAAGAUGAUAUGGACCUGAUUAACAAAGCAAACUAUUUUAAACAAUUGAAAGGAAAAAGAUAACUACCAAGUUUACCUCUUGGCAAGGCGUUCGGUGUCUUUAAGUCCUCCGAACAGGAUUCUCCGUUUUCUGAGUCAUUCUGGGAUUCACUAGAUGGCGUAGUCGGUGGUUCCGACGGUGCCUCCUCUUCGUGUAUAACAAUCUUCUCUCUACAAACCUGACUCGGUGCUACGGUCUCCUUAGGAUAGUUCUGUUCAAGUUCUAUGUCUUCAGACCUUACAACUUCUCCUUCGUAGUGUACCCACCCGUCCUUGAUGAUUUGCCUUCUCUGGUUGCGGUUGCGUCGUCUCCUUCUUGUCCUGACCUGCUUAGAGUCUUCAACUAUAUAGUUAGGGUCAGUAAAAUAGCGGCGUCUUCUGAGAGGGGAAGUUCAUGUGGACUUCUCCGGUUCCAAUGUAGAUGAUUAUUUUAACGGUGCUGAGGAACUGACUCCCAAUGGUGAUGGGUGGAUUCUACUCGUCUUCUCCCAUGUCAAUAACCUUAAAAUCAUCUGGAGCUGAAUGUAUGUUGGUUAUAGGGGCAUGGUUCCAUGCAGGAGCUAAUAAGUGACUGCGGCCAUUAUGUUGACGUCAGAUCUGGUGUCGUAGAGUGUCUUCUCAAAAGAAUAUCCGUUGAUUGUGCACUUGAUGCUUGGAACACCAGGGUCGUCCUUCUUGAUCAAGAAAGGUGACUUGAGUUGACGAUCUUGACCUCCUUGAGCUGCAGUGACCAUCUUAGCUGACUCGGUACAAAUUUGCUUGUUCUUGUUCCUCCUGUUGGUCCUCUUCCUUGGUUCAUGUCGGGAUUGCUCUGGGAUUUGUGUAGUCUUAUUUUUGAAGGAAAACGUCUCCAUCCUUCCCUUGAAGUAGAAACUGAUCUUGGCAGCACUAGCCUAGAUUACAGCUCCCGAGGUGUUCAGGAAUGGCCUCCCUAGGUAUAAUGUUGACGCUGGAGCCAAAAUCGCAGAGUGCUUCUAGGAAGUCCACCAUGCCGAUGGAGAUUGGGAUGACGUGGCAUCCUAGAUUGUCUUUCUUGACUGGCAGAAGGUCAGUAAUUUCUUCCACAAUGGGGUUACUCCAGUAGUUAUGUCCUCAAGCAUCUUAGGGCAGUGUUUGCAUGAGUGUCCAGUAUCUCCAGCGUGUUUGUGCUCAUAUAUCUAGGUUCUUCACUUGGUGGAGUCUGGGAGUUGUAAAACUCCUUCAUAUUUUGCUCGAAGUGUUCCUACUUAUAGAGACAAGGCAGAGAUCAAGUGCAUGGGCCCUGUUGGUGUAAAACACCAACAAAACCAAAAGUGUAUUUGUUCUUCUCUAACCUCAAGCAUAGUGAGCAAGACAAAGUUGAUGGAUAAUAUGAUCAUGAGUGUAGCAUUUAACAUUUGUCAGAUUAGAUUGCUCAACCUUAUGGAAAGAUAAUCUAUCUAUAUAUAUGUUUUGUUUAUAUCUUCCAAAGAUUGAGUGUGCAACAUUUUAGCUUGUAUGAUUAGGAGUGUGGAAUCACAAAGGUGGAAGGACUAAACAUGUUGAAUCGAUUGGGACGGUUAAUCUAGAGUUGUAAAUCAUACAUGUUUGUCUCUUUUAUUCAUGUGUAUGCCAGAAUCAAGGAGAAGCUUAUAGAAGUGAUAGUCAAAUACCUUAAGAUGUUACCUUACUUGAAGAGUGAUGGUACAAUAUCACCUUGUGGAAGCUUUCCUCUCUUAGCGGUUGUGCAUCGUGUUUGUGGCACCCUCCAUGGAUCAUCUCUUGUGAGCUAUGCCUUCCUUGUGUAAAUUGUUAAACUUCAUGUGUGUCUCUCUUUGUCUCCAAUGUGAGUUUAUCUCAGGACUUCCCAUGUCGAUAUUGAAAGUUUUCCUGCAGGGGUUAGUCCAACAAAAUAUACCAAUGUCUACACAAGCAGUUUUUAGUUCAAUAACCAAACUAGACUCCAUGUCUAAUUAGAUUAAGGAAGACUGUUUAACCUAAGCACCAUGCUUAAUUUAAAAACCAAUAGAAGUAUGUACAGUACUUCCAAACUAACACUUACUAGGAUAAACAAAGGUAGCAUGAUGGCUUUUAUAGAGAUCCACUCAAGUGGAGAUGAAGUAGUGUGAUUACUAUUUAACAAAUUGAGCAUGUCUCAAAGGUAGGGACAACCAACAUAGCAACAUGGAAAAUGAUGUUUUUAUAUAAAGUACUCCCCCAAGCUUGAAUUUUGCAAAAUUCAAGUUUGGAUGAAUUUAAUUCAAUGUUGUAUGAUGAUUGGUUGUACAUACCUUGUGCUUGUCAUUCAUCCGAUCUUCUUGCUCGAAUCCUAGAAAGGUUAGUGACAAGAAUACCCGAAGGAAUUUUUUUACAAUUAUCCUUAUAUGCUCAAUACACAAGGUAAUGUUGCAAAUAAUUAAAAGCUUAUGUUACGAUCUGAUCAGUGCUUGUUUUAGGACACUAAGCUUGUCCUUGGGAAACCAUCAAUUUAUGUCAGUGAAGUGGUUUCCCCUCCAACGCUGACCUAUAUCAAGAUUAACUCAACGAGAUCUGCAAUAUUUAAUAUAGACAUAUGCAUCGACAACCACCCUUUUAAAGUUUUUAUAAAUAGAAAGGAUGAGGGGGUUGGAGAUCUCGAAUGUGGUGAUAUUGGAGAGACCAAUGGAUUGUGGAGAUGUUGCAUAUGAGCAUGGAGUAAAUGAAGUGGCUAUGAAAUAAAUUCCAUGCUCAUUAAUGCUUAGAGUGAAAUCCAUGUGGUAUGGUGAAAAUGAUAAGGUGAGUGUGGUCAAAAAGGAAAAGAAAAAGGAUACACGGACGACUUGGUUCGAAACUAGCACAGCUACCGUUCCCUGGCAACGGCGCCAGAAAGCUUGUUGGGUAUUUUAAACGCAAACAAAAAAAUCCGCAAGCGCACGGAUACCGAUGUAGCCUUCACCCGGGAGUAUUCCAGAGUAUCGAUUUUCCAUAGAGAACGUGAGUGUACUAAUUAAGAUUCAAGAUCGCCCAAGGAUAACUAUAUAAUUAUUUUUGGUGGGAAGAGAGGUAGUUUCCUGAGAGUUCUCUAGUUGAUCUAAGAAUCAAGAAUUACUUCAAGAUUAUCUAUUUCGGGACAUCAGAGCACUAACCACAGAAAGAGAUGAGAAGGGGGCUAGGAAUGUCUGACUACGGUCCUACAAACACCGAUCCGAACGAGGUGGAAUACGUCGACCGUUAGGGCUGUCACUACCCUAAGGCUACCACAACAAUCCGCAGGAUUGGGUGCAAUUCCAGGUAAUUGCAAGACUAAACACCACGUCUAAUCUAUUAAUUACUACUCUAAUGUUGCAAAGACUAGAGCACUUGAUGCAAGCGGGAAUCCAAUAAAUAACUUGAAUGUAAAUAAAAGUAAUUAGAGAACUCAGGAGUUAUGAAUUGAAGAACCUGGAGAACGCUGAAGAACAAACCAGAUGCUGCAAAAGUAUAAUGUUGAGGAAGAUCCGACAGAUCCUCCUCCUCCUCCGCUCUCCUCUUCUCUCUCCCUAUUUUCUAAAUUACAACUAGAACUAACUAGAACUAGAACUAGAGGAACUAGAACUAGAACUAUAUGAACUAGAACUAGAUCUAGAUGAACUAGAGGUAGAACUAGAAGAACUAGAAGGAUCCUCUCUACUUGGAUGAAGAAUUGAAACCCUAGCUUUGAUUCUGUAGAAGAGGUAUGAUCUCCAGGGGCCAGGGGGGUCUGGUUUUAUAGUCCCUUCAAGUGAAUCUGGGCCGUCGGAUCAAACCGACAUUGAUCGUGUGGUUUUCCUUGAAGUAUUAGGUCGGUGGAGCAUGAUCCCCGAGUUGUACCCUGAUUGGGCAGAACAGGUGGGCGGGCGCCCUCACGACUAGGGCGGGCGCCCUGUCCCUGAGGCCUCUCGUCUUCCGCUUUGUUCCCGUGGCUUCUGGAGUCUUCUAGAUGAUAGAAAAUUGCGCGGCACGUUAAUAUCUCUAUGUAAACCCGACGUGUGGGCCUUUCUUCCAUAAUUCCUGAUAAACCCUGCAGAAAUAGACAAACACCAAAACUUGUGGAAUUCUGUCAGAUAAAACCCUAAGUCUAGGUGUUUGUUGCAUUUGGAUCAUUUUCUAUGAUUAGUUGAUGGUUAAAUAUGAGCAUUAAGGACCGUCAACAGAUGCCUCGCUGGCCAGAGCGCUGACCUUGGGCAUCUCGAGGGGGUCUUGACAGGAUGUUCCGACCCAAUCCCUGCGCCCAGCCACGUUCUGGCUUGUUUGGCGGAAAAGGCUGCAGAAAGAACGACAGGACAGGUGCUUGUUCCCUAUCACGCUUCUAGGUUAGGUGAGAACGCGGUAGGCGCAUUAAAUGCCCUGGUUCCCAUGCCCGCGUCAGGCGGCGGGCGGCAUCCUUGCGCUCGAGGCCUUCUGAUUCAUACGAGCCUAUUUCCAUAUUCGAUGGUGGCUGGCGCUCGAGCCCUGGUCGAUUCGUAGGACGCUCUUUUCGUGUUCGUGGCUACGGUCGUCGAGGACCGUGCAUACAACUGGUCGUCGAGUUGGAUGCCUCGACUUGCGUAUGGAUACUCUCGAUAUGCACAUCAGUUAGGGUACCCCUUACUGAUAUCCUCGACAGUUGAUUAUUUGAAAGAUCCAUCCAAGAAAGUUGAGAGACGUGUUCGGUUUCAAGCCACCAAGUAUGUGCUCCUCAACGAUGAAUUAUAUUAUCGAACAAUUGAUGGAAUUCUUCUCAAAUGCUUAGGUGAUAAUGAGGCUAAAAGUUUAAUGGGAGAAAUCCAUGAAGGAGUAUGUGGAGCACAUCAGUCGGCUUUUAAGAUGAAAUGGAUGAUUAGGAGGAAUGGGUAUUAUUGGCCAACCAUAAUUGAAGAUUGUUUUAAAUAUUUCAAGAGGUGUCAAGGAUGUCAGAAAUUUGGCUAUAUUCAAAGGGCACCCGCAUCGGCCAUGAAUCCCAUUAUUAAACCUUGGCCGUUCCGGGGAUGGGCUAUUGAUCUAAUCGGCCAAAUUUACCCACCAUCAAGCAAAGGACAUGAAUUCAUCUUGGUUGCAACCGAUUAUUUCACCAAGUGGGUUGAAGCUAUUCCUUUGAAGAAAGUCACAUCGGCCAAUAUGAUUGAUUUUGUGAAAGAGCAUAUUAUUUACCGAUUUGGAAUUCCUCAAACAAUUACUACCGAUCAGGGUACUAUAUUCACAUCAGGGGAGUUUGAUGAGUUUGCAAUCGGUAUGGGAAUUAAAGUAUUAAAUUCUUCUCCUUAUUAUGCUCAAGCUAAUGGGUAGGCCGAAGCAUCUAACAAAGGAAUUAUCAAACUUAUUAAACGGAAGAUUGAAGAAAAUCCUAGGAGGUGGCAUACAUUGUUAAAUGAAGCUUUGUGGUCAUAUCGGAUAGCUUGUCAUGGGUCGACCAAGGUUUCACCUUAUCAAUUGGUGUACGAGCAUGAUGCAGUGCUACCCUGGGAAAUUAAAACUAGAUCUAGGCGGCUAUCUUUUCAAGGCCAAUUGACUGCCGAUGACUAUGCUACUUUUAUAAAAGACGAGUUGGAUGAUUUAGUAGGGCAUCGGCUAAGGGCUUUGAUAAGUAUAGAAGAAAAUAAGAAAAGAGUUGCCAGAUGGUAUGAUAAGAAAGUAAAAGCUAAGGAGUUUGCCGAUGGAGACUUAGUAUGGAAACUAAUCUUACCGAUUGGGACUAAAAGUUCAAAAUUUGGCAAGUGGUCUCCCAAUUGAGAGGGUCCUUAUCGGAUAAAUCGAUCUGCUCCUAGCAAUGCUUAUAUUUUAGAAACUCUCGAAGGAGUUGAAUUUCCUAGGGCAUCGAAUGGCAAAUAUCUAAAGAAAUAUCAUCCUAGCAUACGGGUUGAUGCAUAAAAGUUAGAGUGCCGAUAACAUUCCUAUCGGCUGGAUCAAAGUGUAUCAGGGGCCAAACUUAAUGUUUUAAAAGGUGCCGAUAACAGUCCUAUCGGCUAGACCAAAAUAUCAAGAGUGUUUAAAAGAAAAGAGCAAAGUAUGCCGCCGAUGAAGAAUUCACAUGUUUAACAGAGCCUGGAUUGUCGAUAUGGCGUGCAGACGGAUCUGGUUGGCUUCUUCUAUCUCCUUCAUGUCAUCAUCGGCAGAACCCUCCACUGGCUUCAGUUUCUUCUUCAUCUGCAGUGCUUUGCGGGCUUGGACAUUUCGCUCUUGUUCAAGAAUCUUGAUCGCCUCAGGCAGCUGGCUUUCUUCCUGUUGAGCUUGGGACAAAGCUUCUUCUACCUGUUUGAGUUCUGCCAGUAGGGCUUCUCUCUUUGCCGAUAUAUCAGAAAUCUUGUGCUUCAGCAUGUCUCCUGAGGAUUUCAAGAUGCCGAUGCUCUUGUGCUUUUCAUCGGCAAGGAGUUUCACUUUUAUCAUCUCUUCUGAGAGCUGGGUGUGAAUAGCUCUACUGGCAAGGCGCUGAGCGGCCUUUUGAUAUUGAAGCUUCCGACUUUCUAAGUGAGCAGCCUUGAAGAGGAUCUCCUCGGCAUCGGCAGGAAUUUGGCCUCUAAGAGCCUUGGAUAAGACCUUGGCUGGAUCGGAGUCAUCAACCAACUGGGCUGUAUCCUGAUGAAGGAGGGCCGAUAAAUCUUCCAACUUUGCUCUAAUCUCUACCGAUGAGAUUCCAACCGCUGGAGAAGAACUUGCUUCCUCGCCUUCAUCCUCAGAGAUGUCGAUGGCAAAGGAGAACAAGCUAUCGGGAGAGUCUUGUUUCUGAAAAGGAAGAUAAAAUAAGUUAUUCUAUGAUCAAGUACUGAUAACAAUAAAAGUAGAGAUUGGGUAACUUACUUGUUUCAGGGCUAUUUCUCGCCUUUGACUAGAUGACGCCGAUGGAACCACAGGCUGAUUGGUUGGAAUUGCCGAUGAAACUAUGUCAGCUGAAAGAUUGACAGAAGUGAUUAAUAAAGUGGAAAAAUAGGUUCAUCGGCAAUAAAUGUAAAGUAUAUUACCUUGAGGGGGUGCAGUACUUGUCUGAAUCGAGGAGACUACCGAUGCUAUGAUUAGGCUUGCUGGAUCGGCGGUCUGCUCGUGUACAUCAGCCAAUGUUUCUUCUGGCUGAGGUUCCUCUGGCUGGAGUUCUUCUGCUUGGGGUUCUUCUUGUGGCUGAGGAGGAGAUGGUAUCUGUUGUGUCUGGGCUUCUGGAGAAUAAGGGGAUGAUUCUACUGGGAUCGGAGACCUUGGGGGAGGAGGAGGCGUUGCUGUUCUCUGGCGCUUCACUUGUGAUCUGGUACUCUUAGAACCUUUUCUGUUCAGUUGACUGGACUGGGGGGCAUCUGCAGUUAUACUUUUGGUCUUUGCCGAUGUACCGGUGUGCUAAUACAACGAUGAAAAUUUAUGAGUACAAGUGUAAUAGGUAUAAGAAUGGAAUCGGUAUGAGUAAAAGAAUUCGAAAAAUUACCUUGAACACUUGUGCUAAGGUAGAGGCAGCUACCGAUGGGGAUAUCUUCGUCCGCUUGGUGGUAACUUUCUUGAGACGCAAACCCCGAUGCAUUAUAGCAGCCAAGGUUGGAGCGUUUUUGCCGAUCAAAGAGAUCGGGCCCGAUGGAAGGAGCUCAAUCGGCUUACCACUCCUGCUGACCAAUGGGGGUGUGUCAUCGACCUGCAUAUAACAAGGAAAAUAAGAUACCAAUGGAAAGUGAAAAUGACUGGAUUAAAGCAUCGGUUUAGAGUACUUACAGUGUUAUCAGGGACUUUGUAUUUGGGGUCGAUCAUGCCACGGUAUGUAAGAGCCGAUCUGCAGAACAGGUGCUCUUUCCAUUCUUCCAACCACUGUUUGUAUGCCUGGGUGACGAAGAGAGCUGGAAUCCAAGCCGAUAGAUCGACAUAUGUAUCGGCGUUUGGUGGAAUUUGUCACAGAACCGACCAAAUUAUAAGAGUUCAAGUGUAGAAACGAUCGACAAGCAAUCAAGUUUCCAAACUUGAGCCCAUAUAAUCCCGGUAGUCAACUGAAAUCACGAAGGACUUCAAACCAACUUGCAACAAACCAAGAUCGCAAUAGUUCAACAUAACACAGCGAUUGUUACAUAGUCAUUCAUUGCCUUCGAAGCGGCACCACAUCAGAGUUAGUUAUUACAACACAUGUUUGAAGUAGCGGAAGCAAAAUAAUUACACACACUUUCCAAAGUUCAUUUCACAAGUUCUUGUUCAGCCAGGGUCUCAUGCCAUCCAUCCAAAAGCAACAGAUAUGAAGUAGUUAGAGAACCGUGCCCAAUGGUUUAGUCCUCAUCCCCAGCGGGAUGGAGACAGGUCUUGCAGAAGCCAUCAUAAAAGAUAUCAUCUGCAACAGGUGGGAAUAAACCCUGAGUACGAGGAUGUACUCAGCUAGACUUACCCAUCUAGUAAAACAUAAAAGACACCAAGGAUUAUGCCAGGCUAAGUAUCAAGUGGAGCUGGUUGACUCAACAGUUGCCAAAAGCUUAAUUGAUAGCUACAAUGUAGUGAGGGCAUCAUAUUAAUCAUCAUUAACCUAUCACUAGAUUAGCACCUAUACUAAAACACAUCACUUGAUUAUUCCAAGCAAUAAUAACUAUAUCAAGUUCAUCAUAUACUCUUUCUUGCUAUCAUCAUUAUCACGAACCAAGUUCAUUAGUGAAUGUUACGUUUGCCGCUGCUCUGUCAAGUUCUCACUAUCCGGGAGAGACGGCGAUUCGAAUCGAUUCCUAUCCAGCUGGAGGGUUAUUCCUAGCACUCACCCAAGCAUCCCCCGUCGGAGAGCUAGCGGGUCACCUUUGGAACGACUCAGGAAUCGCGGCUCCGAUCAGCGCCGCACUCCCAGGGCUACCACUCUGCCAGGGAGGUCAGCAAUUUUAACUCACCUGCCUUUGGUCUUACACCAAUGGUCCCCCGCACACCGCACUUCCUCCGGUAGUGCGCACUUUAUACUUGCUGGUCUUCCAGCCUGAGUCAUACUACUAGGCUUCGCGGUCGGAACGAGUUAUCCGGCCAACUAAGUGUUAGGCAUGCGUUCAACAUGACAAGAGGACGUACAACGAUCGGUCCUUAGCUGCCACAGAUGGAGUUACUACAACCUUACAAAACUCCACCCGGCUUAAGUCAAGUUAAUUAGGUUCUUUCCACGAUAGCACAUAUAGACAAUGGUGAUCCGACUCAACCCUAUCUCACGCAGGUGACAGGAUAUCACCCGACUUCUACCGGUUAAAGCAUGUCUAUGCCACUACUCGAUCCUAACUCUAUGACCAGGUGGUGGUAACAUAUCUGAACAAGGAUUGAGUAAAAUGCAGCAGGGGUUUCAUCACAACUCCUAUACGUAAUGCAUCAAUAGAUAUAACAUAAUCAAGUAAGCUUUCGAAAUUAAAGUGGAAGAUUUAAGAUGCUCUGGGGCUUGCCUUUCACGAAUGAGGCUGGCUCGUGAUUCGGGCACUCAACUUCCUCUUCAGGCUCCUCGAGUACGGCUUGCUGGACCUCCGUCUCCGGGUUGCCCUCCUGGCCUUCAGAGUUCACUUGAAGCUCGAAAGAGGCUGUCACGUCCGAUGCACCUAUUGCAUGCUCGAUGAAUAAGAAGGUCUACAUACUAAAGGAUGAAUGCUUGAUAACAUAAUUAGACUCACUGGACACUCAUUUACGGAAUAACUAUUAUAACAAGUUCACACAAGAUGAUGAGCUAACUUAGCUAAAACCUACCAAGUUAAACUACAAACAGCAAGCAUCACAUAACAGAACAGCUCAGUAAACAGGUCAUAACUAUUGCUAAAAAGAUCCAACAAACAUAAGUGAGGACAUUCUGGAAAGCUUAUGAAAUUGUCUACAAUCCACCUUUAAACAUCACAGCAAGAUUCAUAAGUUAAACAAGUCAUUUAAACAAAGUUCCAGGUUCAGAAAAACAGAGAACACCUAUUUCUGGAACCCAACUUGGAAGAGCUAUACCUUUUAAACUAUUGGGCCAAAUGAUCCCAAAUUUAGACCACAGCUAGUUCAUAAAGUUUGCAACAACUUUAGUUUAGACAAGUUUUCCAGAAAAACAAGCUACCAACAAUUAAAGGUUAGAUUACCCUCUUGCUGUCCAGAACAGCUUUUAACCCUCAAUUAAAUAUUUAACGACAUGGCCAAAAUAUACUCAGUGUCAAACACGUAACUUAUGGGCACAAACAUACUAUGGGAUUACCAGAACAACAUAUGUUAACCCCAAAACACUUAAUAACAAGGCAUUUAUCAAUUUAAUUCUAUAAAAGGACAUAAUUACAAGAUACUAGCAAAAGUGCUCAGAAAAAUCUACAAAAUUUACAGAAGUACAAGCAUAGCAGCUGGACAUCACCAUAAAAUUUUCAGAGCAAAUGCACAUGCCAAAUUCAAGAUAAGCAUUUAACAUUUGGCAAGGUGCUUAUUUCAUAAAUUAAGAAACAUGGCUUAUAUAGUAUCAAACAACAGAUUUCAAUUUAUUUACAUGUUAUCAAUACCAUAGACAAGUUUGACCCCAAAGUAGAGCACCAGCAUAAACACUAAUUAUUUACUAUGAUUUAAAUAAGGAAACAUGCCAAAGAAUUAAUCAUAAAUUACAUAUCCCAGAUAUAGUACUCCAAAAAUCAUGAAAUAUUUAUCAAAGCAUUCUCAUAUCACUCAGAGAUUACCAUAAAAAUGUCAUAGCAAGAUGAGCAGUAUAUCAAGAGAUAUGGAUUUACUCAAGAAUAACAAGAUUAAAUCUUAAUAAUUAUUUUUCCCAGAAAGCAUGGUCCAUUUUAUAUUUUUAAUAAAAACUAGCUAUCACAAGGAAUAUCACAAAAUUGGUUUCACAAUUUUUGGAUCUCAGAAACAGAAGAUAUGAUUUUUUUAAGAAAGCCAAAAACCUGGAUUUGAAUAAAAGAAAAGGAGGGAACUAAGUGUCACUAACAGCGGACCCCACGCGUCAGGUUAUUCUUCCUCAUGACCGAGACGACGUUCACCGGCGAUUUCUCCGCGACGGCGAGGUCUCCGGCCAAACCAAGGGCACCAACGUGAUCCACAGACCUUUGCGAACCGAUUGACCCCCUUUUUCCCCAUGGCGGAGCCACCGGAAGGGGCUUGCCGUCGAUCAUGGCGGCCCGGCGGAGGUGCUCGGCGUUACGCCGGAGCUCUCAGGCCGGUAGAGCGCGACCUAGGGUUUCCUACAGCACCAGCGGACUACGGCGAAGCUUCCUAGGUAGGCGACUUGGCUUGAAAUGGUGCGGAAAGAGCUGGCCACGAGAGGGCCCAACUCCGGCGGAAACACGGCGGCGCUGCGCGUCGUGUCCGGUGACGGUGACCGCGAUAGAGCGUCUGCCAAGUGGCGCAAACACUUGCUAAGGACCUAAGCUACCUCUAGGACCUAACCAGAGAAAACGAGAGGCUCCGAGGAGCUCGACAUUGAGUUCGUCGGAGAAGAAAGUCACGGCGACCCGAUUUGGAGGAAAAAGGAAAUGUCGGCUCACCGGAGGAUUUCACGGCGAGUUAGCGGGAGGAGGAUGGAGAGCGGGUCAUGUCGACGAAAGCUGGUCGGCAGUCUACCUUGGGGUAUACCCACGGUAGUAGUUUAUCGGUAGACGGUGCGCAAACUACGAACUCGAUGGUGACGCAAGACACGGACAAGCUUUUUAUCCAGGUUCGGCCGCCGAGUUGGCGUAAUACCUACGUCCUGCGUCUGGUUGUAUUGAUUUGUGCUGAGAGAAUAUGAUCUGAUGUGUCCUCUAGGGGACCCCUGCCCCUCCUUAUAUAUCCUGAAGGGACAGAGUUACAAGCAAAGUAUCCUAUUUGGUACAAUAUCUUGUAGCCUUGUGGUGCACGCCGACUAGUCGUGCGCCGCACGUCUUCAUCCUGUGGGCCGAGCCACCUCUGAUGGUGCGGCCCAUAUAGGCCCAUGAGGGUAUAGGGGUUUAUACCCCCACAGCUAGUCCCCGAGCACCAUGUAUUGUGAUGUAGCACGCCGUCUUGAGCUUUUUCGAUCAGUGAGGCUUGACGUCUUCAAUAAACAGGAAAGUUGCCCGAACAGUUACAACGGUAUUUUGACCAACUCAAAAGACAGUUGAUCAACAUUGACAUCGAAGAAGCAGGUUGUUCGAAGAAUGCAUGGUGCUCUAAAUUAAAAAAGAUUUCUUUCCUGGUGAAGUGUGCCCACUUUACUUUUUUGAAAGGUAUAAACAUCAAAAAAACAAGCAAAUUCAUCGCAAGGUGAAGUGUGCCCACUUAGUCCCCGAGCCUGGUAGUAGGUGACGUAGGCACGUGGUGCCAGGGUCAAAAGAAAAGUCCUCAAAGAAAUUCUGAAACUGAGAUGCAUCGCCAGAUGCAUCGUACCGAUGUAGUCCCCGAGCUUGCUGGAAGGCGAAGUAUGAGCCUUGUAGCAAGGUCUAAAAAAUUGAAUUUACCAGUCCCCGAGCAUAUCAUGCUCGUAUGCAAUUGAAUAGACUAAUCGACCAGUCCCCGAGCAUAGAACGCUCGGUGGUCGGUACAGUCCCCGAAUUCUCAAAUUGGUGGGCUGGUCGACCAGUCCCCGAGCGUAUAGUGCUCGGUGGUCGGUGCAGUCCCCAAGCUCUUAAAUUGGUGAGCUGGUCGACCAGUCCCCGAGCGUAUAGUGCUCGGUGGUCGGCACAGUCCCCGAGCACGGCGUAGGGACCGGUGGACAAGUCCCCGAGCGUGGUUGGGAACGUAAACGUGCUCGGUAGUCGGCACAGUCUUCGAGCAUAGCAUAGAGAGUAGUCGACAAGUCCCCGAGCGUGGUUGGGAACGUAAACGUGCUCGGUGGUCGGAGCAGUCCCCGGGCACAGCGUAGGGAAUAGUCGACGAGUCCCCGAGCGUAGCUUGUCGACUGGGCCAAACUCCUGAAAAAUAAAUAUAGAGAAAAUAGGUAGUACAUGAUGUAUAAAUAAACUCUAGAUAAAAAAUCAGCACUGAGAUAAGUUUUAGACUUUUUAUUAUAAAAUUAGCACGAGUAGUUAAUUCAUCCUAGAGCUUGUACCAGCUCUGGUCUAGCCAACAAUCAGCAUGAGGUGCGGAACCUAGACACGCGUGGGAUUGCCAGCCUCGCCAGAGAGCUACUGCCGACCACCCGGAACGCAGAGGGCGGAUCUCGUGCACGUGUAGGGAGGAGUCGGAGACAGUACCGGCUCUGGAAAGCUCGUGUAGGAGAAAAAACUAGUGUGGCUAAACAAAAAGUUGGUUUUGAAGGAUAAUAAAAAAUAUUAUGCCAAAAAUAAAUAAGAUAUUAGAAGUGUACUUAUCUUUGGAUGAAAGUCUGGUCGGUGACGACAAAAUUGUCUGGCCCUCGAGCUUUUGGACUUGUUAUCGUGACGGUGGUCGCGGUUGUCGUAGCGCCGUUCUUCGCGGCGAUUAUUAUUGCGACUGGUGGUCAGAGCAAGUAGGCCAAACAACUUGGUCGUUAGCCCAAGCAGAUCGAUGUCGUCGAUCUGCCUCUCUUUGUAGUAGGGAAGCAGGUGACGCAUUGUCGGCGUGGUCGGAGACGCUGCUGGUGUGGUCGAAACCAUAGCCAGCGUGGUUGAAGCCGCCGCCGACGUCGAUGAAGAAGUGGUUGGCGCAGAUCGGAUCUACACCUCCUCCGUGGUCAUGGCGGUGAAGUUGUUGAGGCUGACGGUGAACGUGAAGUCGCCCGCCAUGGCCGCGAAGUCGGGGAUGAUGGCCAUCUUGUUCGUCGGGAGAGCUGUACGCACACCCCCUACCUGGCGCGCCACUGUCGACGAAAGCUGGUCGGCAGUCUACCUUGGGGUAUACCCACGGUAGUAGUUUAUCGGUAGACGGUGCGCAAACUACGAACUCGAUGGUGACGCAAGACACGGACAAGCUUUUUAUCCUGGUUCGGCCGCCGAGUUGGCGUAAUACCUACGUCCUGCGUCUGGUUGUAUUGAUUUGUGCUGAGAGAAUAUGAUCUGAUGUGUCCUCUAGGGGACCCCUGCCCCUCCUUAUAUAUCCUGAAGGGACAGAGUUACAAGCAAAGUAUCCUAUUUGGUACAAUAUCUUGUAGCCUUGUGGUGCACGCCGACUAGUCGUGCGCCGCACGUCUUCAUCCUGUGGGCCGAGCCACCUCUGAUGGUGCGGCCCAUAUAGGCCCAUGAGGGUAUAGGGGUUUAUACCCCCACAGGUCACGGCGGAGCUAUGGGCGAGUUUUGGUGGACAGCAACGCAGCGAGGAGCGCGUACGAGCUCGCCGGAGUGAGCUCGCGACGGUGAGCUCGCUGCUGCCGCGUUUCUGGCGAGAGAGGGCGAGGCAGAAGGAAAUGGACGCGUCCACUUCGCCCGAGGUGUCGCCAUGGAGGUCAUGCGGCGUCCGGAGUUGACGAGCGGGGCCAGAAACGAUGUACGGACGCCAAAUGUCCCCGUUGCUCUGCCGCCGGUCGGCCACGUCGACGAGCUCGGUUCUGAUUCAGACAAAACGAUGACUGACUGAGAGAGCUACUUUGACAACGAUUUUCUCCCAAACCAAAACGAAUUAGGAGAUGGUGUACUUGACAAAGUUGGAGUACUAGCUGAGUUGUACAAUAUUGUCAACUGGAGCAAGAGCUAGAUCGGCCUGGUUUGAAAGAUAUGAAGUUUUCAAAAUCGAUCAAGCAAACUCCAGCGUCCCCAGACUUAGAAAAUUUUUCUAAGUGUUGGAAACAGCCCCAAAUCUGCCUUGUGGGUCACUUUAGAGCUAGAUGUGAUCAUUUUCAUGAGAUGGCCAUAGAACAACUUUUGUGACUUAUAAAAUUUGCUACAACUUUUCUGUAGAAAGUUUUGACAUUCAAACGUUUUAUGAAACACUUUUUAAAAGCAUAAGAAAAAGAGGUUUCUAGGGCCUAUACAUGUAAGUAUGACUUAAGUGAUUAUUUUGGAGAAGUGAUCAACAUUAACAUUGUUCCUAAGGUUGAGUUAGGCAUAGAUAAAAUAUUUAGCAAGGCAUAGCACCCAAGCAUGAGCAUGAUUCACACAAACACAAGCAUAGGAAGCAUGAUUAAACAAAUUAAAGCACACUUAAGCAUAAAAUGACAUGGCUCAAGGUAGAUGAUGAUCAUGAUGUGCUUGAGUAGAUGAUGAUGCUCAUGUUAUGCAUGUGAUUUAUGCAACCAUAACACUGGGGUAUUAUAGCCUGUUGACGGUCCUUAAGUACUAAAAUUAACAAUCAAAUAAACAUGGAAAAGGAUCAAUAUGCACCAAACAUCUAGAAUCAGGGUUUUAUCUGACAGAAUUCCACGAGCUAUGGUGUUUAUCUAUUUCUGCAGGGGGUUAUCAGAGAAUAUGGAGAGAAGGCCCACAUGUCAUGUUUACAACGAGAUAAUUACGUGCCGCGCAAUUUUCCUCAAUCUAGAAGAGUCCAGAAGCCACGGGAACGAACGAGAAGACGAUCGGGCUCGGGGGUAGGGCGCCCGCCCAGCCCCAUUGGGCGCCCGCCCAGGGUUAGAGUCCAGUCAGGACUCUCUUUCGGGACUACGCUCCACCGACCUAAAGGAUGAAUCUAAACCAUUCAAUCAAUGUCGGUUUGAUCCAACGCCCCAAAUUCACUUGAAAGGACUAUAUAACCAAGGCCUCUCCACCCCUGGGGGAGAGAGCAGAAGAGAAGAAAUCAUUAUUCAAAGGUAGCCAUCAAAGUUAGGGUUUAGAGCUUCUCUCCCACAGAGAAUUAGAAUUAGCUACUCCCUAGUCCUUCAAGUUUAGAGGUUUGAUUAGAUAGCAAUUAGAGAAGUAGAGCACUACACUCUGGAUUCGGAUCUUCGGUAAUAAAGAUUGGUAUUAUUCAUAUCAUUCUCUAAUUCUUUGUUCUAAUUGCAUUAUGUCUCUAAUUAUUAUGUUCUUAGUUUUCUCUAGUUCUAUAUUUGUUAUAGUUAUGAUUGAUAAUGAGUUUAUGUAUAAGUUUGCAAAGCGCUUAGCUCUUGACGAGAGGGAGUUAAGUGGUAGACAUGUGAGCGUGGUGCUUAGAUGUUAUUUAUCUGCAAAUGUAUCCUAUUAUCCAGGUCGUGUGGUAGUUCGCGAUAGUGACAGCUUCAUUGAUUCUUAUAUAGUCCACCCUCCGUUGAUAGGACAGGCAGAACUUGUAUUGCGGAGUAAGUCUUGCGAUGUUCUGAUUUACUUUAGCAGUGUUCCUUAUACAUGAAUGAAGAGUCUUUUAUGCUAUAUAUGAUCAUGUAGAUAACUAGAGUAGAUUAUGACUUAGUAGAUAGUUGAUAACUUAGAAUCCAUUCUCUAGCUAAUCCGACGUUACCUUACAUAUAUGAGGAGUAGUCUAUUUUCUAAUCGCUGUGUUAUUUACCCAUGAACUUAUAAUUCAUUAUCAUUAUCUUUAUGGUUUACCCCCUGACAAAGUAAGUGACUGUGUGACGAGUUCCUCAUUAGUAAUCAUGUUCUUGCAAGUUUAUCUCUAGUCUAUGCCUUGAUCGAUUUUGUCCUUAUUUUAAUUUCAUCCCUUUUGUUCUCUUAAGAAAAAUUAUAAAUAACAAUACCUGGAAUACUUAUCCUAGUGUAAUGCUACAAUGAGGUGUUUUAUCUGUGCGCUUGCGGAUAGAAUAGAUUAUUUUCUAGAGAGCCUUUACAUUUAUAAAUACCUUUGUACACUCUGGCACCAUGCUGGGGAUGACAACAUACUAUCUAAGUGGUGUUAACUAGUGUCAAAAAGCAUUUCUUGCGCCGUUGCCGGGGAUCAAAAGGGUAAUACAUAGGAACGGUAAGGAAAGUCAGGAAAUCAGUCAAGGUUAUUCAUAUAAAAUAUUAGACUAGACUAUAGAGAAAUAAUUGCAUAAACAGCUACUAAGUGAGAAAUCAUAACAAAGCAUGUCUGCUUUGGCAGGUUCACCCUGUUGUUUUUCUAUGUUUAUAUUAUUAUACAGGGUAUAUCAGGAUUGACUUUGGGUACAUUCAACUCUUCAUCAUCAGAACCAAAGCAAUCAAGAGAAGAAGAAGCUAGCUACCAAUUGCUGAAGCUAUGGCACAGAAGUCCCUACAAGAAUUCUCUACUCCAAGCCUUGAGAACAUUCUAACUGGUCCAAGAUUUGCAGUAGAAGAAGGAGUACCCGAGUUUGAGCUCAAGUCAAGCCUCAUCAAUUUGUUGCAAGCUACACAAUUCAGUGGAAAGGCACAUGAAGAUGCUAGUGCACACUUGCAGAAUUUCUUAGAAAUUGGAAGCACAAUCCACAUCAACGGAGUUGACAAAGACGUCAUACUGCUUCGCCUUUUUCCAUUCUCACUAGAAGGGAAAGCGAGGAAGUGGUUCUACACUCAUCAAGAUAACAUCAACAACUGGACGAACUUGUCAGAUGCCUUUCUAUCAAAGUUUUUCCCUAUAGGCAAAACAACUGCCUUAAGAUGAAAUAUUGUCAGUUUCCAACAGCAGAAGAUAGAAACCAUUUCAGAACCAUGGUGGCGUUUUCAAGGAUACAUAUCAGAUUAUCCUCACCAUGGGAUGGCCACAUGGUUACUUAUGCAGACCUUCUACCAUGGAUUAUCCCAGAAGGCUCGUGAGUGCCUAGAUGCAUCUGCUAAAGGAUCAUUCUUGGAGCUUACAAUUGGGAAAGUAGAGAUACUUUUGGAUAAGAUAGCAGAAAACCAAAGCUGGUUCCAAGAUGAAGCUCAACAAUGUCAUCAAACUGAAGAAAUACCAGAAGAAGUAAAUGCAUUAUCAACUAAGAUGGAAAAUUUGCUCCAUUGGAUUGACCAGAGGACCAAGUUCGAAGAAGAUCAAAGGGCCAUUGAGAUAGCAUACAAAUAUCAAACAACUCUGAGUCAACCCAAUAGCAAAGGUAUGAAUUCAGGUAACACUUUCAAGCAACUUUCAUUAAAAGAGAUAAUUGCUCGAUAAACCAAAAUUAAUGAUGAAGUUAAACAAAGGCUAGAUACAAAUGAAUCAUCUCUAAAAGAUAUACACAAUAAAAUGGAUUUUCUAUUAACUGCCUUUGAUGAGCAAAACACUCUUAAUAAAAGGGUAGAGCUUAAAUUAAUAAAGUUAGUGUUGCGGUCCUUAAUGCUCAUAUUUAACCAUCAACUCAUCAUGGAAAAGGAUCCAAAUGCAACCAACACCUAGACUUAGGGUUUUAUCUGACAGAAUUCCACGAGUUUUGGUGUUUGUCUAUUUCUGCAGGGGGUUAUUAGGAAAUACGGAGGAAAGGCCCAACGUCGGGUUUACAUAGAGAUAUUAACGUGCCGCGCAAUUUUCUAUUAUCUAGAAGACUGCAGAAGCCACGAGAACAAAGCGAAAGCCGAGAGGACUCAGGGAUAGGGCGCCCGCCCUACUCUCCUGGGCGCCCGCCCUCACAUAGAGUCCAAUCAGGACUUUAUUUCGGGAUAUUGCUCCACCGACCUAAAGGAUCAAGGAUAACCGUUCAAUCAAUGUCGGUUUGAUCCAACGGCCCAGAUUCAUUGGAAGGGACUAUAAAACCAGACCCCCUGGCCCCUGGAGAUCAUACCUCUUCUACAGAAUCAAAGUUAGGGUUUCAAUUCUUCAACCAAGUAGAGAGGAUCCCUCUAGUUAUUCUAGUUCUACCUCUAGUUCAUCUAGAUCUAGUUCUAGUUCGUCUAGUUCUAGUUCUAGUUCCUCUAGUUCUAGUUCUAGUUAGUUCUAGUUGUAAUCUAGAAAAUAGAGAGAGAGAAGAGGAGAGCAGAGGGGGAGGAGCCGGAUCUGUCGGAUCUUCCUCAACAUUGUACUUUUGCAGCAACUGGUUCGUUCUUCAUCGUUCUCCAGGUUCUUCAAUUCAUAAUUCCGGAGUUCUUUAAUUAUUUUUAUUUACAUUCAAGUUAUUUAUUGGAUUCCCGCUUGCAUCAAGUGCUCUAGUCUUUAUAACGCUAGAGUAGUAAUUAGUAGAUUAGACGUGGUGUUUAGUCUUGCAAUUACCUGGAAUUGCACCCAAUCCUGCGGAUUGUUGUGGUAGCCUUAGGGUAGUGACAGCCCUAACGGUCGACGUAUUCCACCUCGUUCGGAUCGGUGUUUGUAGGACUGUAGCCAGACCUUCCUAGCCCCCUUCUCAUCUCUUUCUAUGGUUAGUGCUCUAAUGUCCCGAUAUAGAUAAUCUUGAAGUAAUUCUUGAUUCUUAGAUCAACUAGAGAACUCUCAGGAAACUUCCUCUCUUCCCACCAAAAAUAAUUAUAUAGUUAUCCUUGGGCGAUCUUGGAUCUUAAUUAGUACACUCACGUUCUCUGUGGAAAAUCGAUACUCUGGAAUACUCCCGGGUGAAGGCUACAUCGGUAUCCGUGCGCUUGCGGAUUUUUUUGUUUGCGUCUAAAAUACCCAACAAUCUUUCUGGCGCCAUUGCCGGGGAACGGUUGUUGUGCUAGUUUCGAACCAAGUCGUCCGUGUAUCCUUUUUCUUUUCCUUUUUUACCACACUCACCUUACCAUUUUCACCAAACCACAUGGAUUUCACUCUAAGCAUUAAUGAGCAUGGAAUUUAUUUCAUAGCCACUUCAUUUACUCCAUGCUCAUAUGUAACAUCUUCACAAUCCAUUGGUCUCUCCAACAUCACCACAUUCGAGAUCUCCAACCCCCACUUCCUUUCUAUUUAUAAAAACUUUAAAAGGGCGGUUGUCGAUGCAUAUGUCUAUAAUAAAUUUUGUAGAUCUCGUUGAGUGAUAUUGAUAUAGGUCAGCGUUGGAGGGGAAACCACUUCGCUGACACAAAUUAAUGGUUUCCCAAGGACAAGCUUAGUGUCCUAAACCAAGCACUGAUCAGAUUGUAACAUGAGCUUUUAAUUAUUUGCAACAUUACCUUGUGUGUUGAGCAUAUAAGGAUAAUUGUAAAAAAAAUUCCUUCGGGUAUUCUUGUCACUAACCUUUUCAGGAUUGGAGCAAGAAGAUCAGAUGAAUGACAAGCACAAGGUAUGUCCAACCAACCAUCAUACAACAUUGAAUUAAAUUCAUCUAAACUUGAAUUUUGCAAAAUUCAAGCUUGGGGGAGUACUUUACAUAAAAUCAUCCUUUGCCAUGUUGCUAUGUUGGUUGUCCCUACCUUUGAGACAUGCUCAAUUUGCUAAACACUAAUCAUUCUACUUCAUCUCCACUUGAGUAGAUCUCUAUAAAUGCUCUCAGGCUACCUUUAUUUGCUUUAGUAUAUGUCUAGGUUUGGAGUAGUUUCAUUUAUCUCUUAAUUAUGCAUGGUGCUUAGUUUAGGAAUGAUGAUCUUACUUCCAAAGGAUUUUAAAUUAAGUAUAGUGCUUAGGUUAAAAUACCCUCCUAAAUGAAAUUAGACAUGGUGUCUAGGUUGAUUUUUGAGCCGAUAGUAUGCUAUAGUAGAUAUUGGAUAUUUUGUUGGACUAACCCCUAUAGGAAAACUUUCAAUAUCGACCUGGGAAGUCCUGAGAUAAACUCACAUUGGAGACAAAGAGAGAGACGCAUGAAGUUUAACAAUUUACACAAGGAAGGCAUAGCUCAUAAGAGAUGAUCCAUGGAGGGUGCUACAAACACGAUGCACGACCGCUAAGAAAGGAAAGCUUUCACAAGGUGAUACUAUACUAUCACUCUUCAAGUAAGAUAACAUCUUAAGGUACUUGACUAUCACUUUUAUAAGUUUCUCCUUGGUUCUAGCGUUCACAUGAAUAAAAGAGACAAACAUGUAUGAUUUACAACUCUAGAUUAACCAACCCAAUCGAUUCAAUAUGUUUAGCCCUUCCACCUUUGUGAUUCCACACUCCUAAUCAUAUAAGUUAAAAUGUUGCACACGCAAUCUUUGGAAGAUAUAUAUAGAUUAUCUUUCCAUUAGGUUGAGCGAUCUGAUCUGACAAAUAUUUUAAAUACUACACUCAUGAUCUUAUUAUCCAUCAACUUUGUCUUGCUCACUAUGCUUAAGGUUAGAGAAGAACAAAUACGCUUUUGGUUCUGUAGGUGUUUUCCACCAAUAGGGCCCAUGCACUUGAUCUCUGCCUUGUCUCUAUGAGCAGGUACACUUUGAGCAUCAUAUGAAGGAGUUUACAACUCCCAGACUCCACCAAGAGAAGAACCUGGAUCUACGAGCACAAACACAUUGGAGAUACUGGACACUCAGGCAAUCACUGCCCUGAGAUGCUCGAGGACGUAACUUCUGGAGUAACCCUGUUGUGGAAGUAAUUACUGACCUUCUGCCGGUCAAGAGAGACAAUCCAGGACGCCCCGUCAUCCCGAUCUCCAUCGGCAUGGUGGACUUCCUAGAAGCACUCUGCGACUUUGGCUCCAGCGUCAACAUUAUGCCUAGGGUACUCUAUGAAAAAUUCUUUACACAUCCUUUACUAGAAACAACCAUGUGUUUGCAGCCUGCAGAUCGGACACUAAGUUUCCCAAAGGGAAUAUUGAAGAACCUCUGCGUCUGAGUUGGUACCUUGUACGCUCCAGUAGACUUCAUGGUGAUAGAGACUGGUACUGAUGAGAGGGCACCCAUCAUCCUAGGGAGAACAUUCCUGAACACCUCGGGAGCUGCCAUCUACGCUAGUGUUGCCUAGAUCAAUUUCUACAUCAAGGGGAGGAAGGAGACAUUUUCCUUCAAGAACAAGACUACACAAAUCUCAAAGCAAUCCCGACAUGAACCAAAGAAGAUGACCAACAGGAGGAACAGGAACAAGCAAAUAUGGACCGAGUCAGCUAAGAUGGUCACUGCAGUUCAAGGACGUCAAGAUCAUCGAUUUAAGUCACCGUUCUUGACCAAAAAGGAUGACCUAGGUAUGCCAAGUAUCCCAUGCUCCAUUAAUGGAUACAACUUCCAGAAGAUGCUUUGCAACACCGGGUCAGGCGUCAACAUAAUGGCCGCAGUCACCUAUCAAGCUCCUAUUCGGAACCAUGCCCUUAAAACCGACAUACAUUUAGCUCCAGAUGGCAGAUCAGAGAUUCCAAAAGAUUUUCAGGUUAUUGACAUGAGAGAAGACAAGUAUGAUCCACCCAUCAUCCUUGGAGACCGUUCCUCAGCACCGUUAAAUCAAUCAUCUACAUUGGAACCAGAGAAGUCCACAUGCACUUCCCCUCUGAGAAGGUACGCUGCUAUUUUACUGACCCUAACUAUAUAGUUGAAGACUCUAAGCAGGUCAGGACAAGAAGAAGACGACGUAACCGCAACCAGAGGAGGCAAAUCAUCAAGGACGGAUGGGCGGACUGCGAGUCUACGAAGGAGAAGUGCACCGAGGCAGGUGUGGAGAGAGAAUAUAGUUAUACAUGAAGAGAAGGCGCCGCCGGAACCACCGACUACGCCAUCCAGCGAAUCCCAGGACGACUGAGAAAAUGGAGAGUCCCGUUCGGAGGACUUAAACACAACAAACGCCUUGCCAAGAGGUAAACUUGGUAGUUAUCUUUUCAUUAAUGUGCUUAGUUAAUCAGGUUUAUAUCAUCUUGAAAAGAAAAUAAAAAUGUUAAAAAUAGUAAGCCCCAUGUGAGUAUGCUCAUGGCAUAAAACCCAUAAGUACAUUCACUGUGGUGGCGUAAAAACAAAAUAAAUAUAUUCCUGUCCUAUAAAAUCACAUUCUCACACUAGAUUAUGAUCCUACUAAAGAGANNNNNNNNNNNNNNNNNNNNNNNNNNNNNNNNNNNNNNNNNNNNNNNNNNNNNNNNNNNNNNNNNNNNNNNNNNNNNNNNNNNNNNNNNNNNNNNNNNNNACCCCAUUUAUCCAGCUAAGUGUUCUACUCACGUUUAUACUUUACUCAAAUAAUAAAAAGAUGCAUAAUCAUAAAAACCCAAAUAAAGAUUUUGUGCUUAUAUAUAUAGUGCUUAGUUUGCUAAAUAAAUAAAUAAAUAAAGUUUGCUAUGUGUUGGGUAUUCUUAACAUCAUUACCAAAAGUAGACUAAGUUCUCUAAAUCUAGUAACGGUGCCAAAAAUGCCAAACCUAUCCCUCACACCACUUAAGCCAAGUUGUCAUCCCCAGCAUGAUAUAAGAGACGCGGUAUUGAAAUAUGCAAUUGCUCUUCUAAAUAAAUAAUGAAUUGGAUCUGCAAGCGCACAGAUUAAUACCGAUGUAGCAUUUUAACCGGGAAGUAUUCCAGGUAUCGUUAUUUAUAUUUUUACCACUGGGAAGGGAUUAGAAAUCAUCACUAAUGAUUACAGAAUAGAAUAUGAGAUUGAGCAUGUAUCGUUGCAUGUAUAAUUGAGAACAUUAUAUCUAACUUCUCAUGCAGGGAUAAGUGUCACAUAAAAGAUAUAUGAAAUAAUAAUAGUGACAAGGAUAACUAAUCUGAUCUAGCCACAUAAUAAAUAUGAUAAGCACCUCAAUUAGAUACUCUAGAAAGUCAUUAGCAUGGUAUUAGAACGAACUACAAGAAUAUUCCCUAAGUUAUUCUCAACUAUAUAGUCUAGCAUUAUCAUAGUUAGUGCAAGCAUACUUAGCAAUCAUUGCGAGACAAGACUACGCCCAUGCAUAGUGAUAUUAGCAAGGAAUAUGAGAAACAUAGCAAUCACUCCCCUGUAAUAAUGUUGCUCUGCUAGCCCAAUACACGAGAGGGGGACUAUAUAAGAAUCAAUGAAGCUGUCACUAUCACGAACCACCCCACGAUCUGGCAUAUUGGGUACAAUCGCAGAUAAAUACGGUAUAAGCACCACGCCUACACAAUAUCUAUCAUUUACCCAUGGAUCCGAUGGAUAAACGCUAUACGAUCCUAAGCAUGUAUAUAGAUCCAAUCUAACUAAGCCAAGUACAUAACUAUGAUAAACUAAGAACAAUAUAAUCUUGAAUAUAAGCAAGUAGAGCAAAGUCAUAAGCAAUAUAUUGAAGUAGAACAAAGUCAUAUUCAUAAUAUUGAAGAACAAAGAUAAUUAGAAAGUAAUUAGAAGCACAAUUAGAGAAUUACCAAGAAUCCUCUUGACAGAUCCGGAAACCAAUCGAAGAUUGACUCCUUCUAAUUCUAAUCCUUUGUAGCUAUGCUAAUCUAGAUAUCUAAUUGAUGUGGUGGCUCUAAUCUUGAUCAGAGGCUUCUUCUCCCUUGAUGGAACAAUGAAUUAGGGUUGAGAGGCUCUCUCCUCCAGGGGCCAGGGGGUCUGGUUUUAUAGUCCCUUCAAGUGAAUAUGGGCCCUUGGAUCAAACAGACAUAGAUUGUAUGGUUUAGAUUCAUCCUUUAGGUCGGUGGAGAUCUCCCGCAAAGCAAAGUCCUGAUUGGACUCCUGGAGGGGGCGGGCGCCCUGCCUCUGGCCCCGUUUCGCCUCCACUUCGGUCUCGUGGCUUCUGGAGUCUUCUAGAUGUAAGAUAAUUGCGCAGCACGUUAAUAUCUUUACGUAAUCCCGACAUGUGGGCCUUUCUUCCAUAUUUCCUGAUAACCCCCUGCAGAAAUAGACAAACACCAAAACUCGUGGAAUUCUGUCAGAUAAAACUCUAAGUCUAGAUGUUGAUUUCAUUUGGAUCCUUUUCUUUAUUUAUUUGAUAAUUAAAUUUGAUACUUAAGGACCGUCAACACUAUGAACCCUCAUGAUAAGCUCUCAUAUGGAAAUGAUGAAUAGUUGCUCUACCAUGACUAGUUCUCAAAAUUGAAAUCUCUCUCAAGUUUGGGCAUGACUGUUAUUAAUUAAGAUUUGCUCUAAACCUGAACUUGUGCGGAGAGUACUUGAUCUGAAAUCUAAGUCGUUAACGGAUAUGAUAUGGGAAGGUUGAGCUGCUGUUUAUCUGUUCCUAGAGAUGCUAGAAUUCUAGAGAAUUUUAUCUUUGAAAAUCUUUAAAAUGUUGCAUGAUGAGUUCCUGUAUGAUGAGAGUUUAAAUUCCUACCACUGCCAUAUAUACAUGCUUGCUAGACUAUGAGCCACAUAUUUACUUUUUACUGCUUAUGAGCAUUAAGUGUGGUCAAGUUGUGUAGACCCAUAGGAGCUUGUCAUGUGGUUAAAUCAAGAUUCACUUGCACGUUCACUCAUACAUGCUACUUCUACUUCGGAAGUACGCAUCCACAUAUAUCCAUCCAUUUCCAUCUCCAGAACCACCCAAAAAUAUUCUACUCCUAAUCCGGGAGAGAAUAGCCAAAAACUUUCUCCUAUUUCUGUUUUUCCCUGUGAAAUAAAAGAUCAAGUUAUCUUGGUUACUACCACUUGCUAUAUUAUUUCAGGAGAUGAGUGCUCUAAAAAAAGAGAAAGAAAAAAGAAAGAAUACGAGGAAAUAAAAAGGGGCAAGUGCUCGGAACCUCGAAAGAAAAGAAAAACUGAGACGAGAGGUAAAAAUGGACAAGUGUGUGACAGUAGAAUUAGGGGUACAAGAUACCCACCUGAGAGGAAAGAAAAAGAAAAUAUAGAGCAUCUCAUUCUCCUCAAAAAGUUUCAAAAGAGCAAGAAAGGUAUGUAUCCCCUCAAAAGAGCACAAGUAGAAUUAGACUUUCACCAUUGUUAUCACCAUCAUUACCAUGCACCAUUCAUUCGCCACACAUGCACAUCUUGAUUUGACUUAUUGACUUGUUCUUCUGGAUCCAUGGUUUGACUAUGCAAUAAAUGUCUUGUAAGUAUGUAUUAGCUGUCUCCCACCUAUGAGCUCCAGAUAUCAAAACCUUAUUAGAGUAGGGUGAGAGAGAAGGCAAUGUCACUAUGCCUCAUACCAAUAAUACCACAUACUUUGAGAGAAGGCAUACACCAUUACUGCCUUGGUAAGGAUCCAGAAAUACCACAAAAGAGAGAUUAGAGAGAGUCAUACAAGGAAUCUCUUAGUUUUAUUUGAAAAUCUGUAAAAACUCUAGAGCUAUAGUUGAUCAAGAAUAAGAGACAGGGCGCUUGACUAGACCGUUCUAUCUUUUAACUACUCAAGAGACAGGUGACGGUUGCAAGCCCCAUGGUGGAAGGUAAUAUGAGUAAGUUUAAAUCUUAACAGUUUACCCUAACCUAGAGAUGAGAUUUGUUUGAACGCAUGUGUAUCUUUAAGGCAUGAAACCACUGCAGAAACUCUUGAGUUCAUCUUUGCUCAGGGACGAGCAAAGGUUAAGCUUGGGGGAGCUUGUUGACGGUCCUUAAUGCUCAUAUUUAACCAUCAACUAAUCAUGGAAAAGGAUCCAAAUGCAACCAACACCUAGACUUAGGGUUUUACCUGACAGAAUUCCACGAGUUUUGGUGUUUGUCUAUUUCUGCAGGGGGUUAUCAGGAAAUACGGAGGAAAGGCUCACACGUCGGGUUUACAUAGAGAUAUUAACGUGCCGCGCAAUUUUCUAUUAUCUAGAAGACUCGAGAAGCCACGGGAUCAAAGCAGAAGCCGAGAGGACUCAGGGACAGGGCGCCCGCCCUACUCUCCUGGGCGCCCGCCCUCACAUAGAGUCCAAUUAGGACUUUAUUUUGGGAUAUUGCUCCACCGACCUAAAGGAUCAAGGAUAAUCGUUCAAUCAAUGUCGGUUUGAUCCAACGGCCCAGAUUCAUUUCAAGGGACUAUAAAACCAGACCCCCUGGCCCCUGGAGAUCAUACCUCUUCUACAGAAUCAAAGUUAGGGUUUCAAUUCUUCAUCCAAGUAGAGAGGAUCCCUCUAGUUCUUCUAGUUGUACCUCUAGUUCAUCUAGAUCUAGUUCUAGUUCAUCCAGGUCUAGUUCUAGUUCCUCUAGUUCUAGUUCUAGUUAGUCCUAGUUGUAAUCUAAAAAAUAGGGAGAGAGAAGAGGAGAGCGGAGGAGGAGGAGCCGGAUCUGUCGAAUCUUCCUCAACAUUGUACUUUUGCAGCAACUGGUUCGUUCUUCAUCGUUCUCCAGGUUCUUCAAUUCAGAAUUCCUGAGUUCUUUAAUUACUUUUAUUUACAUUCAAGUUAUUUAUUGGAUCCCCGCUUGCAUCAAGUGCUCUAGUCUUUAUAACGCUAGAGUAGUAAUUAAUAGAUUAGACGUGGUGUUUAGUCUUGCAAUUACCUGGAAUUGCACCCAAUUCUGCGGAUUGUUUUGGUAGCCUUAGGGUAGUGACAGCCCUAACGGUCGACGUAUUCCACCUCGUUCGGAUCGGUGUUUGUAAGACCGUAGUCAGACCUUCCUAGCCCCCUUCUCAUCUCUUUCUGUGGUUAGUGCUCUGAUGUCCCGAUAUAGAUAAUCUUGAAGUAAUUCUUGAUUCUUAGAUCAACUAGAGAACUCUCAGGAAACUUCCUCUCUUCCCACCAAAAAUAAUUAUAUAGUUAUCCUUGGGCGAUCUUGGAUCUUAAUUAGUACACUCACGUUCUCUGUGGAAAAUCGAUACUCUGGAAUACUCCCGGGUGAAGGCUACAUCAGUAUCCGUACGCUUGCGGAUUUUUCUGUUUGCGUCUAAAAUACCCAAUAGUUAGCUGCUGCACUGCCUGUCGCUACUAACAUUUAGCAGGUAAAGAAUAUAACUACUAGAGGAGGCAAAGCCACCAGAGAACCCCCAUACCCAAAAGAGAAACAAAGAACAUCAGCACCAAUGCAACCAUCAGUGAUAGAAGAAGAAAGAGAAGAUCUGCGGCAACCACCAAGAACUAGAGAAAUGAGGAAAGAUUUUUACGCACCAACUAUUUGCUAUUUUCCACAAGAAACAGAGGACUGCAGUCGGAUGAGCAGUUUGGUACCUACAUAUGCAAAGUACAUCAGAGAUAUUCUUAACAAGAAGAGACCACUGCCCACCACUGAGGUUAUCAAGGUGACAGAAGAAUGUAGUGCGGCCAUCCUCAACAAACUACCAACGAAGAAGAAGGAUCCAGGAUGCCCCACUAUUGAUUGCUCGAUCAGAAACCAACACUUCAAUAAUGCACUUUGUGAUCUCGGAGCAAGUGUCAGUGUGAUGGCAGCAUCAGUCUACAAAAAGCUUGAGCAUGCGACCCUAGAACCAACAUCAAUGUGCCUAGAACUAGCGGAUCAAUCGGUUCGACACCCGCUGGGUAUCGCCGAGAACAUUCCAGUCAAGAUCAGAGAUUUCCUGGUGCCAGUAGACUUCGUAGUACUGGACAUGAGUCCUGACUCAAAAGUGUCCAUCAUCCUUGGAAGGCCAUUUCUGAGCACUGCCAAUGCCCACAUUGAUGUCGGGAAAGGAGAAAUCGAGUUCAACAUAAACGGACAAGAAGAACACUUCACAUUCAAACCCAGACCAGAGAGAGACUCUAUAGUGAAGGAAGUUCAUGAAGAACCACUCGAGACACCAUCUGUGGAGGAAGGUAAUUCAGAAGAUUAAAAGAUUUGGAGGUCCAGCUUGGGGGACCUAAAAAUCCCAAACCCUCACCGGGAGGUAAAUCGGUAUUUAUCCGCAUAAUUAAUUCUUGCAUUAGUCAUAUAUAUUCAUAGCAUUAUUACAAUAAUAAAAAGCCCCAUAUAAAUAAUAUUUAUGGUGUGUAACAACCCAUAUUUAUUAAUUAUUGUGGAGGCACAAAAAUAUUUUUCAUUAUCAUUUCAAAUAAGUUUCAAUUCUCAUAGAUUUUCCUGCACUAUAUUUAAUUAUAUCAACCUUCUAGAAGCAUGACCCACACUCCUUGGGUCCCACAUGUCAUACACCACACCUCACAUACAUCCCAUCACAUUAUUUGAUCCACCAACAUUUCUCCACUAACCAGCACUUUUCCACCGGCCAACCACCACCCAUGAUACAUUAUCUGGCGUGAGAAUUAAGUAGAGAAGGGAGUGGAGAAAGGGCAGCCAGGAUGGGCACCACAAGUGGGCGCCCGCCCACCUACCAAGGGCGCCCGCCCUGCCCCCUCUUCCUCCUAUAAAUAGCCACCUUCUACCUCCAUCUUCUUCACACACGCAUUCCAGAAAACCACACAAGUUUCAGUUUCCAGAGAAGGAGCUCUUGUAGUGAAGUAGAGAAGAAGAGAAGAGUGGAAAAGAAGUUGGUAGUUUUUGAGUGAGAGAGUGAGUUUCACCUAGUAAGUAGUGAUCCCGCUGUCCAAGCAGAAGUAAAAGUUGUUUAGGGGGAGGUUCUGCCAAAAUAGAAACUUGUCUUGAACGACUAACCCCUGGACUACUGACAUUCCGAACAGCUGACCACUAACAUUUUCUCUCACAUUUUCCACUAGUUGUGUUUUUGCCAACUUUUGUUUACAGGAUGUUUAAGAAGGUGAAGAACGCAGGGAAGGCUCUCAAGAACAUUGGUACAAGGAGUUCAUCCCGACACUCCUCACACCCAUCAGAGAUGAGCGUCGACCCGACACCCACACAAUCUCCGUCAUCUUCAUCUAAUCAGCAAGUUAAGGUCCUUCUCAAGAUAGGAGACCUUGGACUAAAGACCCGAAGGGAAAAGGAAGUCUAUCAGCAACUAAAGAACAAAGAUUUCAUUUACACCCCUACUCUUGAUCCAAUCUUACUACAAGAAACAGAUUGCAGCAACACCGGUGAAUCAGAGAGCUCCACAGCGAGUGGCAUCUGAAAGGAUGAACACCCAAGAAUGCACAUGGUAUGGAGCUGAUCCCGGGCCAGAAGAAGGAGCGCACCUGCAUUAUAGCGACUACAACUCCCGAGUCCUUCGAGACCCAUGGGUUCGACAUGCGCAACCACAAGAGCCUACACAGGAGACAUGGCCGGAGAGCCAAGAUCACCAGUGGACAAACCUGUCUUUUCAUACGGGCAGGUACUCCACUGAUCCAUAUGGAGCUUCAGGAUCCAGACCUCCGCCCCAAUUUGAUGUAGGACGAUACUCGGAUGCCUCCUACGCUUUCACGAACGACUACUACCAAGAGGCCGGUGCUUUCUUCACCCGUACCGACAACACUCUCCUCGACAUCCAGAACACGCAAGCAGAACAUGGACGACUCCUGGAAGAGCAACAAAAAUGGAACCAGAACUAUGCCACUGCAGUACAAGAGCUGAGACAAGAUACAACAACAAUGAACGACAACAUCACAACCAUGAUACGGUUCUGGAACAUCGGGUAAGGCCGACAUCAACAUCUAGCUUGGGGGAGUCCCUCCCCAAUUUAUCAAGUAAGUUUUUAUUUGCUCUUCUUAUUUAUUCUUUUCUGUUUAAGUGUUUUAUUUAUCUUAUGGAGAAAAACUUAGAAAUCCUAAUAAAUAUUUUCUUGCUUUAAAUUACUGCAUUCUAUAAAUAUAAAAACAAGAUAAAAAGAGUGUGUAGAUAAGUGUGCUUUAUUUUCCUGCUAAGUGUUAAUCUCUAGAAAAAUAAAAAGAUCAAAAAAAUACACGAUGGAAAUGAUGAACAGUUGCUCUGUUUGCUUACUUUCAAGUACCUAGCUUUUAUAUUAGAGUUCUUCCAGGAAUUAUUAAAACUGAAAUUACUACCUAUGGGAAGCAUAAAACUAAAGUCUAGGUAAGAGAAAGACAUGAUAUAAAGUUAAGCUGCUGUUUAUCUUGUUCCUACUACACUAAGUUCUAGACAUUUAUUUUGGAAACUUACAAAUCACAUGAUGAGUUCCUAGCAUAACAAAAUUCCUAUCACAGCCAUACUUGUUAUAACAUCUUUUACUAUUCACAUUGAGUUUGAUCGAGCUGUGUAGACCCUUAGGAGCUUUUCAUGUGGUUAAAUUAAGAUAUUCACUUCCACACAUCUACUACACCAUCCAUCACCAUUCAAUAAAAUUGCUAAAAAUAUUAUCACUCACUGUCGUAAGUAUUGUUAUUCUCUCUCUCUAAAAAGAUUCAAUGCAGAAGAGGCAUGGGUUACGCAAAAAUAUGCGAGGAAAUAAAAAGGGGCAAGUGCUCGGAACCUUGAAAAAGAAAGAAAAAGAGUGAGACAAGAGGUAAAAAUGGACAAGUGUCCGGAGUAGAAUUAGGGGUACAAAGAUGCCCACUUGAUCGGAAAAAAUGGACAAGUGUCCGACAAUAGAAUUAGGGGUAUCUACUACCCACCUGAAAAAAAAGAAAAGAAAAAGAUAGCCCUUGUUCUCCCAAAGCAAAGAUCAAAGAAGAGGAGAGAUAGCAAUAUGAGGAGCAAUGAGAAGUAAGAUUUAUUAUCACUUAUACAUUUUCACUAUUACUAUCAUUUAUUCCAUCACACAUGCACAUCUUGAUUUAAUUAUAUGCUGAGUUCCUUUGGAUCCAUGUAUCGAUUAGACAACAUAUGUAUGAGCUAAUAUUCCAUUAGCUAUAGGUAAGUGACAUUUUGAUAAGGAUCCACAAAUUCCACAUAUAGAGAGACUUGAGAGAUCAUUGCUUGGAACUCUGAGUUUUAUUUUGAAAACUUAUGCAAAAACUCUGGAACAAAGGUGAAGCAUAGACAGGAGGAAUAGUGCUUGACUUAAUUAUUUUGUCUUUCAGUUACUUAAGACUUAAGUACAGGUACUAAGUUCCAUAACACUUCACUCUGAUCUGGAAGAAUUUUAUAAAAGCAUGUGUGCCUGUAAGGAAAGAAAACAUCGAAGCAACUCCUGAUCCGUUUGAGUUUAGCUGUUUGCUCAGGGACGAGCAAAGGGUAAGCUUGGGGGUGUUUGUUGAGGGUCCUUAAGUACUAAAAUUAACAAUCAAAUAAACAUGGAAAAGGAUCAAUAUGCACCAAACAUCUAGAAUUAGGGUUUUAUCUGACAGAAUUCCACAAGCUUUGGUGUUUAUCUAUUUCUGCAGGGGGUUAUCAGAGAAUAUGGAGAGAAGGCCCACAUGUCAUGUUUACAACGAGAUAAUUACAUGCUGCGCAAUUUUCCUCAGUCUAGAAGAGUCCAUAAGCCACAGGAACGAACGAGGAGACGAUCGGGCUCGGGGGCAGGGCGCCCGCCCACACCCCUUGGGCGCCCGCCCAGGGUUAGAGUCCAAUCAAGACUCUCUUUCGGGACCACGCUCCACCGACCUAAAGGAUGAAUCUAAACCAUACAAUCAAUGUCGGUUUGAUCCAACGGCCGAAAUUCACUUGAAAGGACUAUAUAACCAAGGCCUCUCCAACCCUCGGGAGAGAGGAGAAGAGAAGAAAUCAUUAUUCAGAGGUAGCCAUCAAAGUUAGGGUUUAGAGCUUCUCUCCCACAGAGAAUUAGAAUUAGCUACUCCCUAAUCCUUCAAGUUUAGAGGUUUGACUAGAUAGCAAUUAGAGAUUGGUAUUAUUCAUAUCUUUCUCUAAUUCUUUGUUCUAAUUGCAUUAUGUCUCUAAUUAUUAUGUUCUUAGUUUGCUCUAGUUCUAUAUUUGAUAUAGUUAUGAUUGAUAAUGAGUUUAUGUAUAAGUUUGCAAAGCGCUUAGCUCUUGACGCGAGGGAGUUAAGUGGUAGAUCACAUGUGAGCCUGGUGCUUAAAUGUUAUUUAUCUGCAAAUGUAUCCUAUUGGCCGGGUCAUGUGGUAGUUCAUGAUAGUGACAGCUUCGUUGAUUCUUAUAUAUUCCACCUCCGUUGAUAGGACAGGCAGAACUUGUAUUGCGGAGUAAGUCUUGCGAUGUUCUGAUUUACUUUAGCAAUGUUCCUUAUACAUGAAUGAAGAGUCUUUUAUGCUAUAUAUGAUCUUGUAGAUAACUAGAGUAGAUUAUGACUUAGUAGAUAGUUGAUAACUUAGAAUCCAUUCUCUAGCUAAUCCGACGUCACCUUACAUAUAUGAGGAGUAGUGUAUUUUCUAAUCGCUGUGUUAUUUACCCAUGAACUUAUAAUUCAUUAUCAUUAUCUUUAUGGUUUACCCCCUGCCAAAGUAAGUGACUGUGUGACGACUUCCUCAUUAGUAAUCAUGUUCUUGCAAGUUUAUGUCUAGUCUAUGCCUUGAUAGAUUUUGUCCUUAUUUUAAUUUCAUCCCUUUUGUUCUCUUAAGCAAAAUUAUAAAUAACGAUACCUGGAAUACUUAUCCUGGUGAAAUGCUAUAAUGAGGUGUUUUAUCUGUGCGCUUGCGGAUAGAAUAGAUUAUUUUCUAGAGAGCCUUUACAUUUAUAAAUACCUUUGUACACUCUGGCACCAUGCUGGGGAUGACAACCUAGUAUCUAAGUGGUGUUAACUAGUGUCAACACCGCCCUCCCCCCUUACAAAAAAUCUCAUCCCGCGAUUUGGAAGCUUACUGAUUUUCGAAGAAGGUUUUAUAAACUUCUUUUAAAUAGUCCUCUGUUUCCCAAGUGGCAUCUUCCUCCCCGUGGUUACUCCACAACACCUUGUAGAACUUAACCACACGAUUACGAGUCACCCGUUCCUUGCGGUCAAGAACCGCUACAGGUUUUUCUUCAUACACCAAGUCAGAUUUCAACUUGAUAUCCCGAACUUCCACUUGCUCCUCUAGAACACGAAGGCACUUCUUCAAUUGUGACACGUGAAAGACAGGAAAGAUAUCUCGGAGCUCAACUGGUAGUUGAACUUUGUACGCCACGUUCCCUUUCUUCUCAAGAAUCUGAUAAGGUCCCACAUAAUGAGGUGCAAGCUUUCACUUGACUCCGAACCUUUGUACGCCCUUCAUCGGAGACACCUUGAUAUACACAUGGUCACCGACUGCAAACUCAAUUGGCUUCCUUCUCUUGUCAGCAUAACUUUUCUGACGAGCUUGAGCAGCUUCCAGAUGUUGCUGGAUGGUACGGACUUGCUGCUCCGCUUCGUUUACGAAAUCAAUGCCAUAAUACCUUCGUUCCCCGGAUUCCACCCAGUUCAACGAGGUUCGACACUUUCGACCAUAUAGGGCUUCAAAUGGAGCCAUCUUGAUACUCUCUUGAUAACUAUUGUUAUAAGAGAACUCAGCCAACGGUAACCAUUUUACCGAAGAACCCUUUGAAGAGAGAGCACAUGCCCUCAACAUGUCUUCUAGGAUUUGGUUAACACGUUCAGUUUGGCUGGUCGUUUGGGGAUGAUAAGCAGAACUACGGACCAAGUGAGUACCAAUCUGCUCAUGAAGACACUCCCAAAAACGGGCAGUGAACUGUGGUCCAUGAUCUGAUAUGAUAGUUCGAGGCACACCAUACUGACGAACAAUGUGCUCGAAGUACAACUCCACAUAUUGAUGUGGACGAUAGUCAGUUCGAACUAGAAUAAAACGAGCAACCUUGGUCAAACGGUCUACAAUCACCCAGAUAGAGUCGUAACCCUUAACCGAAGUUGGAAGUCGAACGAUGAAAUCCAUGCUGACUUCUUCCCAUUUCCAACCAAGAAUUGACAAGAGUUGAAGCAAACCGGCUUUCAUGUGAACGGCCUUCACACGACAACAAUUGUCACAACGAGCGACAAAAGCAGCAAUCACCUUUUUCAUCUUUCUCCACCAAAACAGAGGUUUCAAAUCCUGAUACAUCUUGCUACUACCAGGAUGGAUAGACAAUUUGGAUGAAUGAGCUUCAGAUAAGAUCUGAUUUCGUAGCUCACGGUCUUUUGGGACCACAAGUCGAUCUUUGAACCAAAGAAUUCCAUUCUCAUCGACCCGGAAAUGCUUGGUUUCUUCUUCUUUCAUUUUCCUCUUUAUAUGGUGGAUGUCUACAUCUAUUUGCUGCAAUUCGAUGAGCUCCAGGGAAAUCUGGUUGAGCACAAGUGGGUGCAUAAGAUGUGACAACAACGGAUCUUCCACCUGAACUGAGUGACAGUGCGCUUUCCGACUCAAGGCAUCCGCAACCAUGUUUGCCUUGCCCGGAUGGUAGUGCACUUGCAGAUUAUAAUCUUUAAUCAACUCAAGCCACCUUCGUUGCUGCAUGUUCAAUUCAGGUUGAGUGAAGAUGUACUUGAGACUCUUAUGAUCAGUAUAGAUAUUACAUAGGUUACCCAGCAAAUAGUGCCUCCAGAUUUUAAAAGCAUGGACAACUGCAGCCAAUUCUAAGUCAUGAGUAGGGUAAUUGACCUCAUGCUUUCAAAGUUGGCGCGAGGCAUAUGCGAUAACACGACCUUCCUGCGUCAACAUGCAGCCUAGACCAAUACCCGAUGCGUCACAGAAGACAUCGAAGGUCUUCUCGAUAUCAGGUUGAGCUAGGACAGGAGCUGAUGUCAGCAAUGUCCUCAACUUGUGGAAUGCCUCUUCACACUCAGGCGUCCACACAAACUUCUCAUCUUUCUGAAGUAAUCGAGUCAUAGGCUUGGAUAUUUUUGAGAAUUCCGGAAUGAAUCGACGAUAAUACCCAGCCAAACCGAGAAAACUCCGAACCUCGUGCACUGAAGUUGGAACUUUCCAAUCCAACACUUCUUGCACCUUAGCCGGAUCCACCGAUAUGCCUUCUUCGGAGAAGACAUGGCCCAAGAAAGGUACUUUCUUCAGCCACAACUCGCAUUUGCUGAACUUUGCAUAAAGCCGAUGCUCACGCAAGCGCGACAACACUACACGCAGAUGCUCUGCAUGCUCCUCUUCAUUGCAAGAAUAUACCAGGAUAUCAUCAAUGAAGACCACCACAAACUUGUCCAAUUUGGGCAUGAACACCGAGUUCAUGAGGUACAUUAAGUGAGUAGGUGCAUUCGUAAGACCGAAGGACAUGACGAGAUACUCAUACAACCCAUACCUCGUCGAGAAAGCUGUCUUAGGUACAUCUUCAGGACGGAUCUUGAUCUGAUGGUACCCAGAUCGCAAAUCAAUCUUGGAGAAUACCUUAGCUUUAGACAAUUGAUCAAAUAGGAUAUCAAUGCGAGGAAGGGGGUAUUUAUUCUUGAUGGUCACCGCAUUUAGGGGAUGAUAGUCCACACACAUGCGCAAGGACUGAUCCUUCUUCUUCACAAAGAUAGCCGGACAACCCCAAAGAGAAGAAAUAGGACGGAUAAGACCAUUCUUCAACAACUCAUUCAACUGGGUCUUAUGCUCAGCUAGCUCAUUUGGUGGCAUUCUAUAAGGUCUUCUAGAGAUAGGAGCGGUACCUGGGAUCAAUUCAAUUUUGAACUCCACAUCCCGAUCUGGUGGAAGCCCGGGUAAAUCAUCAGGAAAUACAUCCGGGAACUCACACACCACUAGAAUAUCCUUGACAGCCCUAGAUGUAACUGCAUUCACAGUGCUACGGAUAUGAAUAUCUCGAGGAAGUUGCACUAAGAACGCCUCCUUGGUAUUUAGGUCUCUCAACAUCACUACACGAGUGGUGGUGUCGAUAAGAACUCCGUUACCACACAUCCACUUCAUUCCCAGAAUUACAUCUAUACCCACACCAGGUAAGCCAACUAGAUUAGCAAGAAACUGACGGUCUCCAAUUUCCAGAGUUGCCCCCAAAACCACUUGAUUGGUAGAAAUAUCAUUCCCAACAGCACUAAUGCAAUAACUACCCUUAUCAAGUGUAAUUGCCUUGAGUUAUGCUUAGACACAAAGUCUGAGCACACAAAAGAAUGUGAUGCUCUUGAAUCAAAAAGCACAAGUGCAUCACAUUGGUUAACCAGAAACUUACCAGCCGUAACUACCUCGCCAGCAGGAAUUGCCUCCACAGUUGUGUAGUGAACACGCCCCAUGCGGACGUACCCUUGGUUACCCUUCUUUGGCGGGUAAGGACAAUUGCUCUGCCAGUGCCCGGUCUGAUUGUAGUUCCAGCACGGACAAUUGGCAGGUGGAGUCUUGGCAUAGCUGGGACCCGUGUUGCCCCUAGGAAGAGCAAUAGAGUACCCCUUGUGGAAACCCGUCUUUGCCUGAUUCUUCUUCGUGGGAAGGCGAUAUCGCUGGUUAGGAGUUGGAGCGCGAUACUGGGGUCUAACUACCACUGGAGCCUUGGACUGAGAUGACCCUACCCCGGCCUCAAAAGCCCUUUUGCGAGUCUUGGUCGCAGUGUACACAGUGUUAUAGUUCUCUUGGGUGAGAGCAUCACUGACAAACUCAUUAAAAGUUGCACACUUGGAGCGGCCCAUAGUCUUCAACAACUUUAGGCCAAGACCCUGCUUGAAGCUAGCAAUCUUCUCUGCCUCCGUGUUCACAAACUUAGGAGCCUACCUUGACAGAUGGUUGAAAGCAUGCAAAUCAUGGAACUCAGUAUGCUUCAUCUCCAUAACACCCGGAGGAAUGAAAUGCCCCUUGAAAGCCUCACGGAAGAGGUUCCAGUCAACCACAGUAUUGUCCGGGAGAGCCUCCCGAUGCUGGUUCCACCAUAUGCAUGCCGGACCCUGUAGUUCGUGAGCGGCAUACUCGGCCUUCAAACCCUCGGUCAACCGAAGCAAGCAGAACUUUUGUUCCACCGUGUUCAGCCACUCCUCAGCUUGAAGGGGUUCUUCAGCCUCUCUGAAAGAUGGGGGCUUCGUAUCCAUGAAAUCCUUGAAGCUACUGUACUAAUUAGGAGCUGGCCCUUGUUGUGCAUGACGACCACCCUAAUUUGCUAUCCGGUUGAUGGUCUCAGUGAGCAUCCUCUGAUUUUCCACCAUCAUUUGCAUCAGCUCAGCUGGAUUUUGUGGUGGAGGAGGAGGGGGUGGAUUCAUGCUUGCACGCUGUUCCGCACCUCGAGUGCCACGAGACAUCUGUAAAGACAAGUCAGUGAGCAUUGAUGAUGACAAGAUUUGCCGUAGAAGAACUUAUAUUUAUGCCUGAAAGUAUUCGAGAGAAUAGCUUUAUAGAAAAGACACAAUAAUUCAAUUCCACAAAACAACAUCACUAAUCCAACACAUGACAGAGACAUCCGUAAUACGCACAAUGCGGAAAACAUCGUCAUCACCGGUCAAACAUGAUAAAGUUAACACAUCGGGUCCAUAAAGUUAUUACACCAUCACAGUACAUGACAUGUGUCAAAGAUCAAGGUUCUGAAUUACAACAGGAUUACAAAAGCACCACUGCUAACUGCCAAACUACAAAAGAUCCUCACAUAACAACUACCCACUACUCACUACACUCCAGGCUCGUCGUCCGAGUCAGCGUCGAAGAUUGCCUCUCCAUCCUCGUCACUAACCGGCUCAAGCUCCUCGUCCUCCACGUCCUCAUGCAAGGGUGGUGCAGCCGCUGCUGGUCCAUCUACCUCCAUACCAUCAUCAUCGGCCACAAUCACCUGAGGUCCCACCUCUAGAUACACGGGUACAGGGCGAGGAAUAGGGUGUAGCAAGUUGUUGAGACGGUGAAUCUCCACAAGACCAGCCUCAAUUUGAUCCUGCAGAUAGUUCUCCCACUAUAGCGACUGAAUCCGGUGCAUCUCCCAUGCCCGGCGCCUGUUCUCCGACACACAGAGCGCAGUAUUCCUCUCACGAGUGACCUGCACCAAGUGCUCCUGGACGGUCUCCCUCUCUCUAGCUAACUGACUCAUCUGAUCCUGCUUAUGAUCUCACUCUCUAAUGGCCUUCACCCACUGCUGCCUACGAUACUCUUCUGUUGCAUCUCCUGAGCCUGGCGAACAGCCACCAUCACUUGUGCAUAAGUGUCCUCUCGCUGACUGAACAGCUUGAGCACAGCCAUCAUAGCACUCAUAGCAGGACUAGAACUCUCAGCUCGCUCUCCCUUGCCUCGGACCAACGCACAACCAUCAGCCUGCUUCCACUCCGCUGCUGCUGGGUCAACAUGGGGAAUGGAGGCCGCUGGCCCUCCUGUCAGCUCAUCACCAAACCUCUGACAGGUAUUGAGCAGCAUAGCCUGGGCUGCAACCUGAGCUGCUUUCCAAGGAGUCUGCCCGUCAGAGUUGCAGGUCCACCCUGUCCAUGCAGGCUUGCCCCCAUGUGGCGGGACAACUCCCUGCACAGCAAACCACUGCACACCUCCCAUCAUGUCCACCUCCCACCGGGAAUACUGAGGUGGCUCAGUAUACCCUACAGACUGUAGCACCCUCCAGAGCAAAGUAGGGGUGCCAAACUCGCUCAAAAAGGUGUCACUGGGGCGAGGUGAGGGCACGUCCAUCUAUGGAAAGGAAUAAACGUGGGUAUAAGAGGAUUAAUUUAAGCAACAAUUAUUUAAUUAAAAGGGACGACAUUGUAAGGGAAGGAGUGGACAGAAUGUAUGUAUGAAUGCGACAUGAUGCAUGCGCGAACCGUACGUCCUCACAAACUUAGAAAAUUAAUAUUCUAACGGAAAUACGGUGGCAUACAUUCGUCUCUCGAUACGAUAACUAUCGAUUUAUACGCGCGCUGUUAGAUGACCUGAAGAAAACUUCAUUACAGCCCAACAAUUCCCAAUAUAUCACUCAAGAAAGCAGUAAACUAAGUGCACAUUGCUUAUACAUGCCCAACAUGCACAAACAAUGACACCACAGCUACCCAAGAAAUUUAAAUGCUCCCCAAUUAAGUUUCUAUCGUGGUUCCGUGGUUUUGACAUGUAACCACUCCAGAAAACCACCGCGAACACUCCCUUAGACCGCCGUUUGGACGAUCAUGCUCUCACAGCUCACACUUACCAGGGCGUAGGUGCGACGUUGCAUAAUUUAAAUCUAGCGACAUAUGUGGCUAACUCACAUAUGAAGGCUACCUCUACAAUUAGACCACAGGGUAGCAUAGUGCGGUCAUCACACCUCCAUACCUAAGUACUGCUGGAGAUGCAUAAAUAAAACCCCCCAAGUCAGUACUUAAAUAGCCACCUAUAGUCCUUAUAUGGGCAAGGAGGAUUCGACCACUAGCAUAUUUAAGUGUUGAUUUUCACAAUUUUUUUAAAAAAACUAUUUUUGUUUUUGAAUACACAAACGCUGCAUUUAUAAUGCUGAACCUGCUCUGAUUCCAGCUGUCACAGAACCGACCAAAUUAUAAGAGUUCAAGUGUAGAAACGAUCGACAAGCAAUCAAGUUUCCAAACUUGAGCCCAUAUAAUCCCGGUAGUCAACUGAAAUCACGAAGGACUUCAAACCAACUUGCAACAAACCAAGAUCGUAAUAGUUCAACAUAACAGAGCGAUUGUUACAUAGUCAUUCAUUGCCGUCGAAGCGGCACCACAUCGGAGUUACUUAGUUAUUACAACACAUGUUUGAAGUAGCAGAAACAAAAUAAUUACACACACUUUCCAAAGUUCAUUUCACAAGUUCUUGUUCAGCCAGGGUCUCAUGCCAUCCAUCCAAAAGCAACAAAUACGAAGUAGUUAGAGAACCGUGCCUAACGGUUUAGUCCUCAUCCCCAGCGGGAUGGAGACACGUCUUGCAGAAGCCAUCAUAAAAGAUAUCAUCUGCAACAAGUGGGAAUAAACCCUGAGUACGAGGAUGUACUCAGCUAGACUUACCCAUCUAGUAAAACAUAAAAGACACCAAGGAUUAUGCCAGGCUAAGUAUCAAGUGGAGCUGGUUGACUCAACAGUUGCCAAAAGCUUAAUUGAUAGUUACAAUGUAGUGAGGGCAUCAUAUUAAUCAUCAUUAACCUAUCACUAGAUUAGCACCUAUACUAAAACACAUCACUUGAUUAUUCCAAGCAAUAAUAACUAUAUCAAGUUCAUCAUAUACUCUUUCUUGCUAUCAUCAUUAUCACGAACCAAGUUCAUUAGUGAAUGUUACGUUUGCCGCUGCUCUAUCAAGUUCUCACUAUCCGGGAGAGACGGCGGUUCGAAUCGAUUCCUAUCCAGCUGGAGGGUUAUUCCUAGCACUCACCCAAGCAUCCCCCGUCGGAGAGCUAGCGGGUCACCUUUGGAACGACUCAGGAAUCGCGGCUCCGAUCAGUGCCGCACUCCCAGGGCUACCACUCUGCCAGGGAGGUCAGAAAUUUUAACUCACCUACCUUUGGUCUUAUGCCAAUGGUCCCCCGCACACCGCACUUCCUCCGGUAGUGCGCACUUGAUACUUGCCGGUCUUCCGGCCUGAGUCAUACUACUAGGCUUCGCGGUCGGAACGAGUUAUCCGGCCAACUAAGUGUUAGGCAUGCGUUCAACAUGACAAGAUGACGUACAACGAUCGGUCCUUAGCUGCCACAGACGGAGUUACUACAACCUUGCAAAACUCCGCCCGGCUUAAGUCAAGUUAAUCAGUUUCUUUCCACGAUAGCACAUAUAGACAAUCGUGAUCCGACUCAACCCUAUCUCGUGCAGGUGAAAGGAUAUCACCCGAUUUCUACCAGUUAAAGCAUGUCUAAGCCACUACUCGAUCCUAACUCUAUAACCAGGUGGUGGUAACAUAUCUGGACAAGGAUUGAGUAAAAUGCAGCAAGAGUUUCAUCACAACUCCUAUACGUAAUGCAUCAAUAGAUAUAACAUAAUCAAGUAAGCUUUCGAAAUUAAAGUGGAAGAUUUAAGAUGCUCCGGGGCUUGCCUUUCACGAACGAGGCUGGCUCGUGAUUCGGGCACUCAACUUCCUCUUCGGGCUCCUCGAGUCCGGCUUGCUGGACCUCCGUCUCCGGGUUGCCCUCCUGGCCUUCGGGGUUCACUUGAAGCUCGGAAGAGGCUGUCACGUCCGAUGCACCUCUUGCAUGCUCGAUGAAUAAGAAGGUGUGCAUACUAGAGGAUGAAUGCUUGAUAACAUAAUUAGACUCACUAGACACUCAUUUAUGGAAUAACUACUAUAACAAGUUCACACAAGAUGAUAAGUUAACUUAGCCAAAACCUACCAAGUUAAACUAUAAACAGCAAGCAUCACAUAACAGAACAGCUCAGUAAACAGGUCAUAACUAUUGCUAAAAAGAUCCAACAAACAUAAGUGAGGACAUUCUGGAAAGCUUAUGAAAUUGUCUACAAUCCACCUUUAAACAUCACAGCAAGAUUCAUAAGUUAAACAAGUCAUUUAAACAAAGUUCCAGGUUCAGAAAAACAGAGAACACCUAUUUCUGGAACCCAACUUGGAAGAGCUAUAACUUUUAAACUAUUGGGCCAAAUGAUCCCAAAUUUAGACCACAGCUAGUUCAUAAAGUUUACAACAACUUUAGUUUAGACAAGUGUUCCAGAAAAACAAGCUACCAACAAUUAAAGGUUAGAUUACCCUCUUGCUGUCCAGAACAGCUUUUAACCCUCAAUUAAAUAUUUAACGACAUGGCCAAAAUAUACUCAGUGUCAAACACAUAACUUAUAGGCACAAACAUACUAUGGGAUUACCAGAACAACAUAUGUUAACCCUAAAACAAUUAAUAACAAGGCAUUUAUCAAUUUAAUUCUAUAAAAGGACAUAAUUACAAUAUACUAGCAAAAGUGCUCAGAAAAAUCUACAAAAUUUACAGAAGUACAAUCAUAGCAGCAGGACAUCACCAUAAAAUUUUCAGAGCAAAUGCACAUGACAAAUUCAAGAUAAGAAUUUAACAUUUGACAAGGUGCUUAUUUCGUAAAUUAAGAAACAUGGCUUAUAUAGUGUCAAACAACAGAUUUCAAUUUAUUUACAUGUUAUCAAUACCAUAAACAAGUUUGACCCCAAAGUAGAGCACCAGUAUAAACACUAAUUAUUUACUAUGAUUUAAAUAAGGAAACAUGCCAAAGAAUUAAUCAUAAAUUACAUAUCCCAGAUAUAGUACUCCAAAAAUCAUGAAAUAUUUAUCAAAGCAUUCUCAUAUCACUCAGAGAUUACCAUAAAAAUUUCAUAGCAAGAUGAGCAGUAUAUCAAGAGAUAUGGAUUUACUCAAGAAUAACAAGAUUAAAUCUUAAUAAUUAUUUUUCCCAGAAAGCAUGGUCCAUUUUAUAUUUUAAUAAAAACUAGUCAUCUCAAGGAACAUCACAAAAUUGGUUUUACAAUUUUUGGAUCUCAGGAACAGAAGAUAUGAUUUUUUUAAGAAAGCCAGAAACCUUGAUUUGAAUAAAAGAAAAGGAGGGAACUAAGUGUCACUGACAGCGGACCCCACGAGUCAGGUUCUUCUUCCUCACGGCCGAGACGACGUUCACCGGCGAUUUCUCCGCGACGGCGAGGUCUCCGGCCAAACCAAGGGCAGCAACGUAAUCCCCAGACCUUUGCGAACCGAUUGACACCCUUUUCCCCAUGGCGGAGCCACCGGAAGGGGCUUACCGUCGAUCAUGGCGGCUCGGCGGAGGUGCUCGGCGUUACGCCGGAGCUCUCAGGCUGGUAGAGCGCAACCUAGGGUUUCCUACAGCACCAGCGGACUACAGCGAAGCAUCCUAGGUAGGCGACUUGGCUUGAAAUGGUGCGGAAAGAGCUGGCCACGAGAGGGCCAAACUCCGGCGGAAACACGGUGGCGCUGCGCGUCGUGUCCGGCGACGGUGACCGCGGUAGAGCGUCUGCCAAGUGGCGCAAACGCUUGCUAUGGACCUAAGCUACCUCUAGGACCUAACAAGAGAACACGAGAGGCUCUGAGGAGCUCGGCAUUGAGUUCGCCAGAGAAGAAAGUCACGGCGACCCGAUUUGGGGGAAAAAGGAAAUGUCGGCUCACCGGAGGAUUUCACGGCGAUUUAGCGGGCGGAGGAUGGAGAGCGGGUCACGGCGGAGCUGUGGGCGAGUUUUGGUGGACAGCAACGCAGCGAGGAGCGCGUAUGAGCUCAUCGGAGUGAGCUCGCGACGGUGAGCUCGCUGCUGCCGCAUUUCUGGCGAGACAGGACGAGGCAGAAGGAAAUGGACGUGUCCACUUCGCCCGGGGUGUCGCCGUGGAGGUCAUGCGGCGUCCGGAGCUGACGAGCGGGGCCAGAAACGACGUACAGACGCCAAAUGUCACCGUUGCUCUGCCGCCGGACGGCCACGUCGACGAGCUCGGUUCUGAUUCAGACAAAACGAUGACCGACUGACAGAGCUACUUUGACAAUGAUUUCUCCCAAACCAAAACGAAUUAGGAGAUGGUGUAGUUGACAAAGUUGGAGUACUAGCUGAGUUUUACAACAUUGUCAACUGGAGCAAGAGCUAGAUCGGCCUGGUUUGAAAGAUAUGAAGUUUUCAAAAUCGAUCAAUCAAACUGCAGCGUCCCUAGACUUAGAAAAUUUUUCUAAGUGUUGGAAACAGCCCCAAAUCUGCCUUGUGGGUCACUUUCGAGCUAGAUGUGAUCAUUUUCAUGAGAUGGCCAUAGAACAACUUUUGUUCCUUAUAAUAUUUUCUACAACUUUGCUGUAGAAAGUUUUGAGAUGCAAACAUUUUAUGAAACACGUUUUAAAAGCAUAAGCAAAAGAGGUUUCUAGGGCCUUUACAUGUAAGUAUGACUUAAGUGAUUAUUUUGGAGAAGUGAUCAACAUGAACAUUGUUCCUAAGGUUGAGUUAGGCAUAGAUAAACUAUUUAGCAAGACAAAGCACCCAAGCAUGAGCAUGGUUCACACAAACACAAGCAUAGGAAGCAUGAUUAAACAAAUUAAAGCACACUUAAGCAUAAAAUGACAUGGCUCAAGGCAGAUGAUGAUCAUGAUGUGCUUGAGUAGAUGAUGAUGCUCAUUUUAUGCAUGUGAUUUAUGCAACCAUAACACUGGGGUGUUACAGAAGUUGGGCUACCCUGAUCCAUUCCAAAUGGUUGGUGAUGACUCCCUCGGCUUUAUCACAUCGGCGUAGCAGAGUGCAAUCGGCAGUUGGCCGAAAGCCAGUUGGCGAGCUAGUGCCGAUGGGUUAUAAAACUCAUAGGUUAGAUUGGAGGCUUUCCCACUACCAAAGAAGUUCACUAAUAUGGCUCUUGGGGUGAUAAUUGCCGUCAUCACAUCACGGUCCUUGUUGAGAGCAUCAUUGAAGGGGUGGAAAGUCAAGGGAAAUCUGGUAUCUGGGUCUUCAUAAGGCAUCCAUGCCUGUUGUUCUCUGGUCAGACCCUCAUACAGAGUUUGGAAGAAUCGGCUAACCUAGUCUGCGUUACCACCUGUGCCAGGUAAAACUAUGGCAGCUUCGCCAAAGUUCAGAGGGGAACAAGUUGCCGAUUCUUCUUCAUCCAGUUCAUAAUCCUCGGCUAUAUCCCUGGGGAAGCGCUGUGCAAAGAGGUCAAACUCAAGGCGCUUGUGCAUGUGGAGACUAAGCCACAUAUUGAUGAACCACCAAGGACCCCCUAAGUUGCUGAUGGGUUGACCAAGCAGUAGUUUCUGGGCUACCUGGUGAAGGAGGUGAUAAGCAGAGCCAAGUAGGUAUCGACCGAGAGGAAAUCGCCACCAUUGGAUAAUCUUUCUACUGCCGACAAGUAAACAGAAGUUGGUCCUACCGAUCGGCCACAGAAUACAAAUUUACCCAACCACAUAUUUAGAAAAGUGGUCUGUUCCUUUGCAUUGACAGGACCUGUUCUUCGGUACUUCUGAAUGUACCUGACCAACCGCCGAUAACACGAGUUUCCACCUUAGCACUGGGUUUGGUGUCGAACAGGUGGGUGGUAUCGGCAGUUGAUACAUCUAAGCCGGUGAGCAUAAGUACAUCGGCAAAUGUAGGGGAAGCAGGGCCAUGGCCAAACACGAAAGCAUUGAGUGUGUCCGACCAAAAGUAUGAGGCAGCUAUCAGUAGUGACUCAUUUCUCUCCAUAUUGGCAAGAGACAACCUAAUGCACUGAUCUAAUUUCCGUUCACCCCAUUGGACCUCACUUGAGUUACUGACUCUCAGGAACCAAUCCUUUCAUCCCUUAGUAGGACUAGGCCAGGAACGGAAGGCAUCUUUCCAUAGAUCUAGAGAAAAAUUCUCGGCUCUGAAGGGGAUUCUGUUUGUCUCUGCGUUUAUAAGAUCAGUGGGAUCUAAGUUUCCUAGUGAACCGAGGCAUUGGAGAUGGGGUUGAUCGAUAGGGAUUACGAUCUUGUUGGCCAAAUCCUAAAGAUUGUAAGGAUAAAAGAAAAAGUAAAAAGAAAAAAAGGGGGAAUAUUCAGUAAAAGGAAUUGUGGAUGGACAAAAGUACAGCAAGAGUACGAAAAAGAAGGAGGGUAAGCUAACCUCAGGGAUGACGAAGUUGACGGCCAUUGCUCCGCGGGGAAGAAGAUCGAAAUCUUGGGGGUUGUUGGAGGAACUUCUUGCUGUAGUUCUUAGAGCUAUCGAACAGCGCUGCUGCCAGGAAAGCAGUGUUGGGGCUGUAGAAUGAUGCGAUGGAGAAGGAGUACCAGAGAAGGAAGUAUUUAUAGGAUAAAACGAGCAAGGGCAAAUUUGACUUAUCUCUGUGCCGCAUCCGUGAAAUCCGAGGGUGCUCAGGUGGAUAUGGUAACUGUUCGCACGGUAAUCAAGGGAUUGUGCAGGUGAUUUGACAGGAAGCGGUCAUGACUUUUAGAUAUUUCACUGUGUGGGAUUUCUUGGUCGGUCCAUCGGCAGUUCCCUCUAACAGUAAUAUUGCCGAUGGGCGCAUGAAGUGGAGAGAUCCGGUUCGGAAGGUUGAGGAAUUCGAGGAAUCUGCAGGAGAAUCGGGCCAAGGUUGUUCAGAUUUGAACGGUCGAUUACCAAAUUGGGAGAAUUAAUUGCGGAAAGGCAUCAUUACUGCAGAGAAUUUCGGAGCAUUAAUGAUUUUAUACUCUGAAAUUAGGGGGCAUGUGUUGACACCGUUUUUGGAUACGUACCCAGUGACCUGUAGAGUAUAGAUCGGCAGGUGGAGCAACGGCAACUGGUCAGCAGGAGAGUUGCCGAUGAGGAUAGUUGCCAAUGAAGAGACGAUUGAAUAUGACUAAGUCUAGGGGUGGUGACGUGUUCUUACCGAUGAUCAAUAUCGGUGUUUGCCGAUGGCCAUAACAAGAAGGUUGUCGAUGACUCUGAAGGAAAGCGUGGAGAUUGCCGAUCGAUCUGUGGUGGUGUCCUGGUCGGUUAUAAGGGGUAGUUUUAUGUUUUCCUUAGUUAUUUAAAUUUGUUUUGUAUACGGAUUCUGUUUAAUUUGGAAUUCGAGUCCUAGUCGUGUCUGAUUGUAGCUCUUUGAGCAGGGUAUAAAUUUAGUCCCUAGGGCCUUGUAAUGAGAUAUCUAUCAAUCAAUGAGACACAAGUUUUUACUCAUAUUCUAGCAUCUACUUUUUCGACGACUUCGUCAUAUUUUCCUUUUUACUAUGAGUUUUAUGAAUUCAUCGACUUAAGCUCGGCGUAUUCUCAAGUUCCGCGUGAUUACCUCUUGGCCGUGACAUCCGGGUGCAUCGCUGUUGUCGGGACCAAAGUAUUCGAGUUAUCACCUUUGCCGAUAGUAAGGUCAAAUCAGCUGGCACGCCUUAACGUUUGAAUCGGGUAUUAGCCCUUUGUGUUUGCAGAUCCGCUUUUGCACCAACAACGUCAGACUAGCAAGAGAAUAGAUUCUUAGUAUCUGUUAUCUACUAAGUCAUAAUCUACUCUAGGCAUCUACAAUAUCAUAUAUAGCACAAAAGACUAUUCAUUCAUGUAUAAGGAACAUUGCUAAAGUAAAUCACAACAUAGCAAGACUUACUCCGCAAUACAAAUUCUACCUAUCCUACUAAUGGAGGGUGGACUAUAUAAGAAUCAACGAAGCUGUCACCAUCGUGAACUACCACACGACCCGGCCAAUAGGAUACAUUUGCAGGUAAAUAAUAUCUAAGCACCACGCCCACAUGUGAUCUACCACAUAACUCCCACGUGUCAAGAGCUAAGCGCUUUACAAACUUAUACAUAAACUCAUUAUCAAUCAUAACUAUAUCAAAUAUAGAACUAGAGCAAACUAAGAACAUAAUAAAUAGAGACAUAAUGCAAUUAGAAUAAAGUCGUAGAAAAAGAUAAGAAAUAAUACCAAACUUUAUUGACGAAGAUCCGAAAUCUAGAACACUAGGCUCUACUUCUCUAAUUCUAUCUUAUCAAUCUUAUAGAACUUGAAGGAAUUGGGAGUAGCUAAUUCUAAUUCUCUGCGGGAGAGAAGUUUCUAAACCCUGAAUUUGAUGGCUUCCUCUGAUAAUGAUUUCUCCACUUCUGCUGGGUGGAGUGGCCUUGCUUAUAUAGCCGCCUCAAAUGAACGUAGGCCGUUGGAUUAAACUGACCUUAAUCGCAUAGUUUUCCUUCAUCAUUAGAGGCGGUGGAGCACGAUCCAGGAGACGGAGCCUAAUUGGCCCCUGGGCAGGGCGGGCGCCCUAGGGGGGAGGGUGGGCACCCUGCCCCCAGGCCCGUUCGACCUCCCGUUCGUUCCCGUGGCUUCUAGACUCUUCUAGGUUAAGGAAAAUUGCCGCACACGUAAUUAUCUCGAUGUAAACCCGACGUGUGGAUCUUCCUUCCAUAUUUUAUAAUAACCGCCUGUAGAAAUAGACAAACACCAAAACUUGUAGAAUUCUGUCAGAUAAAACCCUAAUUCUAGGUGUUUGGUGUAUACUGAUCCUUUUCCAUGUUUAGUUGACGGUUGAAUUUGGCAUUUAAGGACCGUCAACAAACUCCCCCAAGCUUACCCUUUGCUCGUCCCUAAGCAAACAACUAAACUUAGAUGGAUCAGGAGUUGCUUCGAUGUUUUCUUUCCUGACAGGCACACAUGGUUUCAUAUAAAAUUCUCCCAGAUUAGAGUGAAGUGUCAUGGGGCUUAGUACCUGCACAUAAGUCUUGAGUAAUUGAAAGACAAAAUAAUUAAGUCAAGCACUAUUCCUCCUGUCUAUACUUCACCUUUGUUGUAGAGUUUUGCAUAAGUUUUCAAAAUAAAGCUCAGAGUUCCCAGACAUGAUACUCUCAACUCUCUCUAUAUGGGGUAUUUGUGGAUCCUUACAAAAGAUGUCACUUACCUAUAAAUAAGGGAAUGUUUAUGUCGAGUUUAUAGGUGUGGAAAAUAGCUCAUACAUAUGUUGUUUAAUCAAACCAUGGAUCCAAAGGAACUCAGUAUAUAAUUAAAUCAAGAUGUGCAUGUGUGGUGGAGUAAACGAUAGUAAUGGUGAGAAUGUAUAAGUGAUGAUAAAACUUACUUCUCAUUGCUCCUCAUAUUGCUAUCUCUCCUCCUCUCUUGAUCUUUGCUUUGGGAGAACUUGGGCUACCUUUUUCUUCUUUUUCUCUCUUUUUUUCAGGUGGGUAGUGAAUACCCUUAAUUCUACUAUUGGACACUUGUCCAUUUUUUCGCUCAGGUGGGCAUCUUUGUACCCCUAAUUCUACUCCGGACACUUGUCCAUUUUUACCUCUCGUCUCACACUUUUUCUUUCUUUUUUUGAGGUUCCGGGAACUUGCCCCUUUUUAUUUCCUCGUAUAUUUUUUUGCAUAACCCAUGCCUCUUUCUGCAUUGAAUCUUUUUGGAAAGAGAGAAUAACAACACUUUGGGACAGUGAGUGAUAACAAUAUUUUUAGCAGAUUUUUGAUGAAUGGUGGUGGAUAGUGUAAUACAUGUGUGCAAGUGAGUAUCUUGAUUUAACCUCAUGAAAAGCUCCUAAGGGUCUACACAGCUCGAUCAAACUCAAUGCGGAUAUAGGUAGCCAAAGAUAUUGAAAUUAUGGCAAGUAUGGCUGUGGUAGGAAUUUUGUCAUGCUAGGAACUCAUCAUAUGAUUUGCAUGUUUUCAAAGUAAAUCUCCAGAUCUCAGUGUUGUAAGAACAAAAUAAACAGCAGCUCAAACUUUAUAUCAUGUCUAUCUCUUACCUAGACUUUAGUUUUAGGCUCAUGCUCCCAUAGAUAUUAAAUUUUAGGUUUUAGUAAUUCUUGGGAGAACUCUAAUUUGAAAGCUAGGUACUUGCAAGUACGCAAACAGAGAAACUGUUCAUCAUUUCCAUCAUGCAUCUUUUUGGUUUUUUUAGUUUUUUCUAGAGAUUAAACUUAAUAGGAAAAAUAAAGCACACUAUCUACACACUCUUUUUAUGUGGUUUUCUUGUUUAAAGAAUGUAGUAAAUUAAGUAAGAAAAAAUUUAUUGAGUGUUGUAAGUUUUUUCUUUAAAUAUUAAAACAGAAAAAUAAAUAAGAAAAACAAUAAAAACAUACUCGGUAAAUAGGGAGGAACUCCCCCAAGCUGGAUAGGGCUAUGUCAAUCUUACUCAAUGUUCCAGAACCGCAUCAUGGUGGUGAUGUUGUCGUUCAUCAUCGUGGUGUCUCGCCUUAUGUCUUAUACCACAGUGGCAUGGUCCUCGUUCCACUUUUGUUGUUGUUCUAGGAGUUGUCCAUGCUGCAUUUGCCUUUCUUGUAUGGCGAGGAGGGUGUUGUCGAUGCGGUUGAAGAAGGCGUCGGCCUCUUGGUAGUAGUCCCUAGAGAAAACAUAGGAGGCGUCGGAGUAACGUCCUGCAUCAAAUUGGGGUUGGGGCCUGGACCCUGAAGCUCUAAACGGAUCAGUGGAGUUCCUUCCCGAAUAGAAAGGCAGGUUCGCCAAUUGGUGAUCUUGUCCUUCCGGCAACGUCUCCUAUGCUGGUUCUUCUGGUUGAGCAUGUUGUACCCAUGGGUCUCGAACAACUCGUGGGUUGUAGUCGCGAUAAUGCAGUUCUUGGUGGGUGGCCAUCCUUUCAGAUGCCACGCGCUGUGGAGCUCUCUAGUUCACCGGUGCCAGUGCAAUCUCAAUCAAAUAAUUUUGAACGACAUACAGGCCAAGGUUUGGGUUAGGUAACCAAAUCUUGCCUUUAUUAUCAUACAACAUGUACAUUACGUUUCCUUCCUUUUUCAGCAUUCGAGCUUGUCUAAACGUGUCAUAGCCAUGAUAAAUUUGUAACUCAUCAAUGAAUUCCAAUGACGAGUUCUCUAGCAAAUUGAGACUAGAGGCUAGACGAGUGAUGAGUGAAGUACAACCGACAGUCCCUGAAGACUAGGUAAACUAAGCCAAUGAGCAACUAAAAGAGUAACGGGUGAAAUAGGUAUUUUAUUUAUAGAAGCAUAUAAAAGUUGUAAAACUCCUACUCUUAACUUCCUAAUGUCAUCGUGAUAGAAAAGAUUGUACCCAAUCCAUUUGUGGAACAUCCGGAGUGUAGGAUGCUCCAUGUCACUGGUCCGGGGUUGGAAGAAGUAUUCGUCCCUCGAAAUCUCCCUCCAAAACUGGUUUCUCUCAAAAUUGGGCAAAUCAGUGUCAAUAUCUAGGAUGCAUCUUGAAGAGAAACCAAGAUGUUCGCUCAGUUCUCUCCUAGACAACAUGAUUUCUUGUUUGAGCAUCCAAAAAGUGAUACCCCCCUCACAAUACUAAAAAGUGUAGAGAAAUUCAAUGGUGAGAAGAUGAGACCCCAGUUCAGUUAUAUCCUAGAAAUUUGUCCAUCCCACCAUCCGAAAAAUCAAGUCAAAUUCGGUCUCCAUACCUAUCGCCUGUAGCAGGAUAGGUCAAGAGUGGGGGUGUGAAUGAAACUCUUGUACUUCAGGUGCUGGAAAACUUCCUUCUCUCUGCGGGUCUUCAGCCCAAGGUCUCCUGUCUUGAGGAGAACCUUCACUCUUGUGCCCGAUGAAGACGAUGGAGCUUGCUCGGGCGUCGGGUCGACGCUCAUCUCCGAUUGGUGCGAGGAGAGUCAGGAUGAACUCCUCGUCCCAAUGUUCUUGAUGGCCAUGGCCACGUUCUUUGCCUUCCUAAACAUCGUACAAAAAUUGACACAAACAAAAACUUGUGGAGAAUGUGAGAGAUAAAAGUUAGUGGUCAGCCGUCCAAAAAGUCAGUCGUCCAGGGGUUAGUCGUCCGAGAUAAAUUUUUAAUUGAAGAAUUCGACAACACUUCCCCUAAGCAACUUUUAGUUCCGCUUUUGGACAGCGAGAUCACUAAUUACUAGAUGAUCCUUGCUCUAUCGCUCUCCUAUUUCAAAACUAUCAUGCUUUCUUCUACUCUUUCCUUGCCUUCCACUCUCCUUCUCUCUUCACUACAAGAGCACUUCCUCUAGAAACCGAGAACUGAAGUGUGUAAGUGUUUUCUUGAAUGUGUGUGUGAUGAAGAUGGAGGCAGGAUGUGGCCUUUUAUAGUUGGAAAGGGGGAUAGGGCGGGUGCCCUAUGGUGGCCUCCUCUCUGGCUGAAGCUUCUCCACUUACUUGCUUAGUCUUUACGCCAAAAAUGCUGCAUGGAUGGUGGUUGGACGGUGGAAGUUGUGUGGUGAGUGGAAUGGUGUUGGUGGAUGAAAUAGUCUCUACAACUAAAAAGCUUACAGAGCAAUCGUCCCCUACUAUCUUCGCUUCACCCGACUAGCGACUCCGCCUUUAGGAAAUACCACUCCUGACUCCACCCUCUGUCUCCAACACCGCCCCCUCCCCCACCGUCCUCGUUCCUCACCCACCGCCGCCCCCCCUCCCCUGCCACGAUGGUGGUCCCCAAGCGCCCAGGCGCGUCCUUGCCGUGCGCUGGUGGCCCGCGUAGCACCGCCCCCCGCGCUGCUGCGGACCCACGCCCGCCGCGCUCGACCAGCCCCGCCCGCGUCGCCCCACUGGCCACGGCCCUGCGACUGCUCCCACGAGCCGAGGCGGAGGAAGGAGGAAGAAGGAGGAAGAAGGAGAAGGAGGAGGAAGGAGGAAGAAGAAGGGGAGGAAGCCGAGGAGGGAAGAAGAAGAAGGUGCGUCGGCCAAAGUCCCGUCCCGUUCCCGGCUGUCGUCUUCUCCACGUGCCCAUCCCGCGCCCACCACCAGCCCCACCUCGUCUUGCUCCGGCCAGCGGCCACCCGGCUUGUCCCUUCCCCGAUCCGGUUCGUGUCUUUGUCGCCGUGAAGCUGUGCUGCCAAAUCAGGACCACCACCAGGUGUGCCUAUCCCUUCCUUUCCCUUACUGAUGUGCGAAACCCUACCUUAAGCCAAUUUGCUAUGUCUAUUCGGAUCUGAUCUAAUGAGGUGUGUACAUUUAUUAUGCUUGCUAACUUUGAUCCUUUAAAAUUAGUAGCUGCGACCUGUAGGUAAUAAGAGGUUAUCAUUCUAAUUAUUCAAUUCAGUAUAUUUUGUAUUUGUGCCAUAACAUGGAAAAAGGAAUUGUUUUGUUUUUUUUGCAAUACCUUGUUUCUUGCUUCUAAAACCGUAGUUGAGCCUUACUGUCUUCAGUAGUUGAGUCUGACAAUUAUUAGUCAUAGUAUUGUUAUUAUGUUAAUUAACUUAAGGGAAUUCAGAUUUGCUUGUUAUGUCAACUAAGGGUGCAGAUAAAUUGCAGAUAAAUUCCCCACCGCCACAACGCCGAGCCCACCGCCCCUGCGCCAACGUCGAGCCUCGCUGCCAUCUUGCGUUUGCCAGCCUGCUCGUGGUGGUGGAAGCAGGGCAGCCGGCAGCGGAAGACGGCAGGGCGCGUGCACGGCCCUCCUCCAAUCGGGAUCGUCCACAUCCGCGUCACUGGGUCUUCAUCGGGCCCUUCAACGGCGAUGAAGCCCGCAUAUCCCUUCCACUAGGUGUGCCAAUCUCUCCUCUUCCCUUAUUGUUGUGCAAGACCCUAGACCCAAACCCUAUCUUAAAGCUAAUUGGCUAUUUCUACUCGGAUCUGAUCUAAUUUGAAUCCUUCUAAAAGGUCACUAUGCGUACAUGUGCACAACCAAUUCACCUGCAAGAACAAAAUUGCAUGCUGUGACUCUUUAGUACAAAACAAUCCCUUUUUACCAUAAAAUAUUUUUAAUAUUAGCCAGCAUUUAUUAUUACUAAUAUUAGCCGAAUAUAUGAUUAGAGUAUUGUGGUUACAUGAAUAAGUUAUCAAAUCUGUAGUUUGCUCCAAGCAUGGCAAAUUUAGAGUACUGUAUUAUUAGGGGAAAACCUAUUUCACACUCCAUGGAGUGACCAUUUAGGAUUUGCAGCUACCACUGCUCUAAUAAUUUAUAUUUUUUUACUUAAUUCAUAAACCUUUUAACUUCUAUCACAAAUCUAAAAUUUGAACAUACAAUAAUAUAUCUGCAGGCAAACCUAAAAUGAUAAAAUAUAUAUGUUUGACAUAAUCUUUACUUCCAAAAAAUAGAGUGCUAGGUUGUUAACUUCAAGCUCUACCAUUGACCACUGCAUUAUGGUCACAAGAACCUGAGUUCCGAAGAAUGUCAAGAUGUGUCUGAAUCCCACAAAAAACUGAAUGUUUAUUGAACACCGCAGUGUCAAGAAAGGCUACACAUCUAGGUAAGGAGAUACGGGUGUAAAGAGAGAUGCUUCAGCUUCAUCUAUGAUCCAUCUAUGCUUCCUUGUGGCCUUCCCUUGGAUUUUCAUGAACUCCAUUAGUGGCAAGUUAUUGAGUAGAUAAAAAUCAAAGAUUAGCAUUGAACUUUAAUGGUUGGCCCCUGCUAGGUUUAGGUCCAAGCUCUGCCACUGCCAUCGCGACCUGUGCAUCGUGUUUUGCACAACUAAAAGUAGUUGCUUAUUAUUCAUCAUUUUAGCCUCAUUCAAAUUUGACUAGAUCUGUGCUUGCUGUAGGUACUAUGAUGGCCUUCUUUUAGGACUGUCAACAACAUCGAUUGGGUGCAAGCGAGAGGCAGCUCAGUGUUCAAGCAAGGCAAUUUAUUUCAUGGCCAAGCCACUGUAAUACCAAGGUGUUUUGAUUGCACUUCUUUCUUUCACCCUUUGCUCCCUUUGAUUUUGGCCAACUUAAAGUUUUUUGUUGCCUAUGUGAUGUGUGAUGCCUCUUCAUCAUACGAGCCUGCUGAUCAGAUCAAACCCACCAUGCAUCUAAAAGUUUCAGAAAAGUAUGAAUGUCAGGGAUGGAUUUCCUCCUGAAUGACAUGCCUCGAAUUAAUUUUUGCUGAAAUGUUGUUUGCUGAAUAUGGAGGAUGGAGAGAAUUAGAUUUUGCUUUCGUAUAUUGUUUGUAUUCCCUCAUGUGACGCGUCAUGUUUUGCACAGGUAAAAGUAGUUGCUUACUAUUCAUUGCUUCAAACUUAGUCAAAUUUGACUAGAUCUGUGCUUGUUGCAGGUACUAUGAUCAUGCCUUCUUUCAGAACUGUCAAUAGCAUCGGUUGGGUGCAAGCGAGAGGCAGCUCAAUACUCAACCAAGGCAAUUUAUUUCAUAGCCGAGCCACUGUAAUACCAAGGUAUUUUACUAUUUCCUUUUGCCCCUUGCUUGCUUUGAUUUUGCCCAGCUGAAAAUGUUUUUGUUGCCUACCUGACAUAUGACACCUCUUCAGCAUAACCAAGGUUCUUGAUCAUAACUAAGAAGACACACUGUUCUUAUGUGCCCAAUAUUUGCUUAUCUCUGUUGUACUCUUUUUUUGGGUUCCAUAUUUUGGUGCAUGAUUUAUGUCAGUGGUUAUAUACUAAACAUAUGUUCAUGGUGGUGCUUCAUAAAAUUCCAUAUUUGCACAGAAUGUAGUGCAUUUCUACCUGACGUACUCGGGACUGGCGUUCAAUGGUUGCCACGCCUAGGAGAUCAGAUGUACUGCAUCUCAAAAAAAGAAUCUUUCUACGUCUGCAUUGUAUGGAAUGUACUUAUUUUAUCAUUUAGAGUUAUGAUUCAAGUACUUUUUGCCAGGUUAAGAGGGAAAUUUAUUCUCAUUGUCUGAUUUAUCUUCAGAAUUCAGUUCCUUGGCUGAUCCAUGCAAAACAAUGCUAUCUGGUGCCAGAGCGUUACCACCUUAGCAAUUGUGUUUUUAAGUUACAAUAAAAUAGCCUCAUUGUUUGUCAUGUUUGCUUCUUUCAUGUAGGGCCUUAUCUAAACUUAUUUACAGGUUUCACCUAGGCCGCUGUUCGAUUCAUCAACUAUUAUUUUUUUAGUCCUAGCUGUGUUUGCUUCAAAAAUGCCUAAGGCCCACCUAUGUUCAGAGCUCGUCAGCUUCAUUCUUCGGAAAACAAAAGGUAAGGUUACCUGACCAAAAAAUAUUAAAAACCCUGACCUUAGCGUUUUCCUCAGAAUUUUAGUUAUACUGCAGUGAUGUUAUAUUAUCUUCUAGAAACUUAACAUAUCUCAGACUUAUUUUUCUUUAAUUUACAAAUAAAGUUGUGCCACAAGUUUAAGGGCAACCAUAUUCGCUAUUACAAAAGAUAAGGACAUAAACUGAAGAUUUUUUGUUUGGAGAGUUAUUCUUAAUACUAUCUGUUGCUUUUCUUUUUCUGCGUCAUGGAAAGACAUGCACCUUUCACCUACUCUGGCUCUCAAAUAUAUUAUUAACUCGAUGAGACUAAAAUUAUCACUAAUCUUGUAAUUUCAUCAAAAUGAACAUGCAGGUAAUAAGGACAUGAAGUCUCACUGAAUCGGAUUUUGAUUGCUUUGGUGCUUGUUCCAAUAAAAUGUAUCUUUUCUGCAUAUUUAGGAAUUUAGACAAUAUAAUUUAGAGUCUCUGUAUGGGUUCUGAAUUCUGAUUGCUUUGGUGCUUGCUGAACCUAAUAAAUGUUGCUUAGAAUUUAGAGGAGACCUUUUCCCUCAUUCCCUCUCAUGUACAUUAGUUGACCCUCAACUGGUUAGUAUAACUGGAAGAUUGAAUGGUAGCGCCGCUACCUGUGAUUAUUAGUAUUUUUUAAGGACUUGCAUUCAUUCAGAACUUUAGAUCGAGCACUUUUGAUUCUUCAUCUUUGUUGACCUAAGAAUAGGAUUUGUGAAUGCUUUUUAUUUGUUGAGUUCAAGUUGUAUUUCUUUCACAUGGUUUAUGAAUUUAAAAAUAGUUCACUUUUAUGCGUUGAACCUAACUACCACUCGAUGAGUCAUUGUGUUAUGUUUUAGUUUUAUUGUUCUACACAACUUAUAUUUUGCUUUAUUUUUGCAAGCUUACUGAGAAAGUAGAAAUCAAGACAAUAAAGGUAUAUCCCUGUAGUAUAUUACACUAUUGCACAUACUUAACUAUGACUGUCAAUUUGAUCUGUACAUUUGAGACUGCUAUUAUGAUGUUGCAAGUUUUGUAGCCUAAUAAAAUAUGUGAAUUAAUUUAUUUUUGUGUCGGUGUAUAGACCUUGUAGACCGUUGGCACUGGCAUUUGAGGCGAUCAACGAGGCUAACCUACAUGCUUGCUAUCGUUUCUUGAGGUGCUUAUAUUAUUUGUGUUACUUGAGAAGAAUGAUUAGAAGAGAGAAGAAGACAUGUGGCAAGGCGCUCGACCUUAUGCACUCAAAGGAUUGAAUGUCUCUUGUAUUGUAUGAUGCAGGUGCAUGGUUUGCCCUAUGUUGGAUUAUUUGUAAAGAUGAAUUAUUGGACUUUGAAAUUUUAAAAUAUAAAUGUAAUGACUUAUUAAUAUGACAUUCAAAUUUCACAUUUUUGUUCUUUUGGCGAUUAAUGUAUUUUAAUAAAGUUAUCACCAGUUGUAUGCAUCAUAAGGCUCAUUUCAGUCAUGAUUGAUUUGAUCUGCAUCACAAUUAUCUAUGUGUGUUAUAGUUGUAUUGUAAUAUUUUACUCCCGUUGCAACGCACGGGCAUUUACCUAGUGUGAUAAGAUGUAUGUGAGGUGUGGUGUAUGACAUGUGGGACCCAUGGGGUGUGGGUCAAGCUUCUAGAAGCUUGAUAUAAUUAAAUAUAAUGCAGGAAAAACUGUGAGAAUUAAAACUUAUUGAGAAUGAUCAUGUCGGAAAGGGAGAAUUAAUAAAUAUGGGUUGUCACACACCAUAAAUAUUAUUAUUGUGGGGCUUUUAUUUAUAAUGCUAUGAAUAAAUAUGACUAAUGCUAGAAUUAAAUAUGCAUGAAAUCGAACAAUAUGGACAAAUACCGAUUUACCUCCCGACGAGGGUUUGGGGUUUUAGGGUCCCCAAAGCUAGACCUCCAAAUCUUUAAUCUUCUGAUGUACCGUUCUCCAGAGAUGGUGUAUCUAGUGGUUCUUCUUCAUGAACCUCCUUCACUGUAGAGGUUCUCUCUGGUUUGGGUUUGAAUGUGAAGUGUUCUUCUUGCCUGUUUAUGCUGAACUUGAUUUCUCCCUUUCCGACAUCAACGUGGGCAUUGGCGGUGCUGAGAAAAGGCCUUCCAAGGAUGAUGGACACUUUUGAGUCGAGACUCAUGUCCAGUACCACGAAGUCUACUGGCACAAGGAAAUCUCUUAUCCUGACUGCGAUGUUUUCAGCGAUGCCCAUCGGGUGUCGAAGUGAUUGAUCUGCUAGUUGUAGGCACAUUGAUGUUGGUUCUAACGUUGCAUGCUCGAGCUUCUUGUAGACUGAUGAUGGCAUCACACUGACACUUGCUCCAAGAUCACAAAGUGCAUUGUUGAAGUAUUGGUUUCCGAUUGAGCAAUCAAUGGUGGGGCAUCCUGGAUCCUUCUCCUUCUUCGGUGGUUUGUUGAGGAUGGCCGCACUACAUUCUUCUGUCAACUUGAUCACCUCAGUGGUGGGCAGUGGUCUCUUCUUGUUAAGAAUAUCUCUAAUGUACUUUGCAUAUGUGGCUACCUGUAUGGCAUCAAGUAGAGGUAUGUUGACUGUUGACACUUGCUAAGACCACUUGAAUACUAGAUUGUCAUCCCCACCAUGACACUAGAGUGUACUAUUGUAUUUAUAUGCACACAGAUAAAUCCGCAAGCGCACGGAUAUCAUUGUAGCUUUUACCCGGUUAAAGGUUUUAUCGUAUCCACAUGGAAACGAGAGAACUGAUAUACACUCUAACUUAACCGAGAUAGAUAGAUAGAUAGGUGUAAAUAGGAAAGAUGGUAGAAUUGAAUAAGAACAAUAUUAAAGGUAAAAUGAUAACUGGGGAAUAUAGAGUAGAGCAAUCUAAUAUAUAUGGGCGAUAAUAGGAGAAUAGAGACGAUAACUAGGGUUUCUCUACUUCAAAAGGGUAUGUCUGUCUGUGGCAAACCAUAAGUAUAAAACAACACAGAGGAUGCUUAUACCUAAGGUCGAGGACUCCUACCAGUCCUGCUAAUGGGAGAUGGACUACAGAGGAUUGUAGCUGUCACCUACGCGGCCUACCACACGAUCCGGCUAACAAGGGAUAAUCCACAAGUAAUCUAGGUCUAAGCACCACGCUUACACCUAUACUACAACUCUCACCUAUAGCGUCCUAUAGAUUAAAGUACUCAGAAGAGUUGUGAACCAGAACAUACAUGGAUAGUAAUUGCAUAAUGAAAUAAGAAGUAGUUUACCGGAGUCAUCCCAUGCGCAAGCUUGAUUAGAGCUUGAUCAUGGCGAAGUACAACCGGAGGAAGAACCGACAGGCCGGCCUCUCCUCCAAUCCAACCUCACUCUCCAUCUUGCUACAAUCUAGAUCUACUCUAGUUUAGAGAAGAGAGCAGAGCUCUCAUCUCUAAACCCUAGCUUUUGCUCUGUCUAUGAAUAAUGAAUAGGGGAUGUAGGGGUCGUCUCCUCCAGGGGUCAGGGGGCUUGCUUAUAUAGCUCUUCCAAAUGAACGUGGGCCGUCGGAUUAAACCGACCUUAAUCGCACAGUUUUCCUUAAUCCUUUAGAUCGGUGGAGCAUAAUCCGCGAGGCGGAGCCUGAUUGGCUGCCAGAGCAGGGCGGGCGCCCUAGAGGGCCCGCCCUGUCCCUGGACCCGCUCGGCCUCCCGUUCGUUCCUGUGGCUUCUGGACUCUUCUGGAAGUUAGAAAAUUAGCGCACAUGUUAAUAUCUCUAUGUAAACCCGACGUGUGGGCCUUUCCUCCAUAUUUCUUGAUAACCCCCUACAGAAAUAGACAAACACCAAAACUCAUGGAAUUCUAUCAUAUAAAACCCUAAGUCUAGGUGUUGGUUGCAUUUGGAUCCUUUUCUUUAUUUAUUCGAUCAUUAAAUUUGAUACUUAAGGACCAUCAACAAACUCCCCCAAGCUUACCUAUUGCUCGUCCCUGAGUAAGGAUGGACUCAAGAGUUUCUACAGUGGUUUCAUGACUUAAAGGUACACAUGCUUUCAAACAAGAUCUCAUCUCUAGGUUAGGGUAAACUGUUAAGAUUUAAACUUACUCAUAUUAUCUUCCAUCAUGGGGCUUGUAACCGUCACUUGUUUCUUAAGUAGUUAAAAGAUAGAAUGGUCUAGUCAAGUGUCAUGUCUCUUGUUCUUUGAUUAACUAGAGCUCCGGAGUUUUUGCAGAUUUUCAAAUCAAACUCAGAGAUUCCUUGUAUGACUUUCUCAAAUCUCUCUUUUGUGGUAUUUCUGGAUCCUUACCAAGGCAGUAAUGGUAUAUGCCUUCUCUCAAAGUAUGUGGUAUUUUUGGUAUGACGCAUAGUGAUAUUGCCUUCUCUCUGACCCUACUCUAAUAAGGUUUUGACAUCUAGAGCUCAUAGGUGGGAGAUAAAGCAUACAUACUUACAAGACAUUUAUUGCAUAGUCAAACCAUAGAUCUAGAAGAACAAGUCAAUAAGUCAAAUAAAGAUGUACAUGUGUGGCGAAUGAAUGGUGUAUGGGGAUGAUGGUGAUAAUGGUGAAAACAAUGGUGAAAGUCUAAUUCUACUUUUGCUCUUUUGAGGGGAUACAUACCUUUCUUGUACUUUGAAUCUUUUUCAGGGGAAUGAGAUGCUCUAUAUUUUCUUUUUCUUUUCUCUCAUGUGGAUAUCUUGUACCCCUAAUUCUUCUAUCGGACACUUGUCCAUUUUUACCUCUCGUCUCACUUUUUCUUUUUUUUUCAAUGUUUCGAGCACUUGCCCCUUUUUAUUUACUCGUAUUUUUCCUUUUUCUUCUCUUUUUUUAGAGCACUCACCUCCUGGAAUAAUGUACCAAGUGGUAGUAACCAAAAUAUCUUGAGCAUUUAUUUCACAGGGAAAAAUAGGAAUGGGAUAAUGUUUUUGGCUAUUCUCUCCCGGAUAGGAGUAGAAAAAUUUUGGGUGAAUCUGGUGAUGGAAAUGAGUGGAUGUAUGUGGAUGCAUACUUCGGGAGUAGAAGUAGCAUGUAUGAGUGAACGUCUAAGUGAAUCUUGAUUUUAACCGCAUGACAAGCACCUAAGGAUCUACACAGCUUGACCACACUCAAUGCUCAUAAGCAGUAAAAAGUAAAUGUAUGGUUCUUAGUCUAAUAAGCAUGUAUAUAUGGCUGUGGUAGGAUUUUAAACUCUCAUCAUACAGGAACUCAUCAUGCAAUAUUUUAAAGAUCUUUAAAGAUAAAAUUCUCUAGAAUUCUAGCAUCUCUAGGAACAGAUAAACAGCAGCUCAACCCUCACAUAUCGUAUCCAUUAACGACUUGGACUUUAGAUCAAGUACUCUUCCCACAAAUUCAGGUUUAGAGCAAUCUUUAAAUUAUAACAGUUAUGUCUAAACUAGGUACUUGGAAGAGCAACUAUUCAUCAUAUCCAUGCUAGAGUUUUAUUAUUAAGAUUCAGUUUAGCAUAGCCUCCUUAUUUAUUUAUUUAAUAAACUAAGCAAAGAUAUAUAUAUAUAUAUAUUUAUAAGCACAGAAUCUUUAUUUGGGCUUUUAUGAUUAUGCAUCUUUUUAUUAUUUGAGUAAAGUAUAAACGCAAGUAGAAACACUUAGCUGUAUAAAUAGGGGUGCUCUCCCCAAGUUCGAUUUUGACGUAAUUUUUUCUGAUGUAGCUAGCAGGUGGCGGAGGUGUAUUUCAAUGUUGGCAGCACCCCGACAGCGAUUAGGAUGUCCUCCGUCUGCUAGUCUUCUUUGAUCCUUGAAUUAUGUGGAGCUCAAAUAGACAACAAAGCUUUGUGCAACUAGUUAAGUGUUAGCAUAAAAUCUCUUAGCCGUUAUCAUGUUGAGCUUUCUCUAAUAAAUAUUACUCUCUUUGGUAGGAUCAUAAAUUUAUUUUUAUAUUUAUAUUUUUAUAGGACAGGAAUAUAUUUAUUUUUACACCACCACAGUGAAUGUACUUAUGGGUUUUAUGCCACGAACAUACCCUAGUUAUCCGUCUCCCCGGCAACGGCGAAAAAAGCUUGUUGACACUUGCUAACACCACUUGAAUACUAGGUUGUCAUCCCUAGCAUGGCACUAGAGUGUACUAUAGUAUUUAUACGUGAAUAAGAACAAUAUUAAAGGUACAAUGAUAAUGGGGGAAUAUAGAGUAGAGCAAUCUAAUAUAUAUGGGCAAUAAUAGGAGAAUAGAGAGGAUAACUAGGGUUUCUCUACUUCAAAGCGGUAUGUCUAUCUGUGGCGUACCAUAAGUAUAAAAUAACACAGAGGAUGCUUAUACCUAAGGUCGAGGACUCCUACCAGUCCUGCUAACGGGAGAUGGACUACAGAGGACCACGUAGCUGUAACCUACGUGGCCUACCACAUGAUCCGGCUAAUAGGGGAUAUCCACAAGUAAUCU